UUUUUUUUUUUUUUUUUUUUUAGUUAACCGUCUGGAAUUGCUAAUUGUGAUUAGAAUGGUGAAAGCUGAUGAACAUUGAACUUUCAGUGGGUGUGACUUUUAUUUGUCAACAUGUGGUCCCAAAAGAAUCACCCAAAAAUAAGGCAAGAAUACCCUUGGUGGAGGAGAUCAAGAAUGGAGCCCGCAAGGCCGCAAGUUGCUGGAAAAGCUGUUGGGUGGUUGCCACGUGGUGGAAGUCCACGUGUCCAAUUUUCAUAGCACAUGGACAGGUAAGCAGCAUCAAACAACUAGUUGACGGCGACAGCACCAGAAACCAGUAUCAUAAAUCACAUCGUACGGCUGGCGUCGUCUGGUCAGAUGCAUGUGAGCAAGUUGUUCCCAGUUGAACUUGGGGGGCACCUUCUCGGACCAUGGUUUUUGGUGGUGAGGAUAUUUGAACACUGCGUGUGCUUUACUCCCCAUUUCGGACCGUUUUGCCCCAUUGCUAGCUAAAAGUAAUUUCGACGGCAUCACUAAUUUUGAAAUUAACAACAACUUUCGCAUCUAAAAACCUAAGAAAUUACCCUUUAUAUGUAGUAUUAUCAAUACAAUAAUGAAAAGUGGCGCUUCAACACUUCUUAGCUUGCACAUUUUAAUUGAGUAUGUGUGGUUUUGCUUUUAAUUUUUUUUUUGAUUUGAUAAUUGUCAUAUUUUACAACAGCAAAUGUGCUCAUCCCCCAACACGGAUAGAGAUAUCAGUGAUAUAUCAUCUGCAUACUUGUCAUAUUUUGCUGAAAAAUCUCGAGCUGAAAUUCCUUUUGAGUCAUUUGUUGAUGGUGACGGUGUGUAUGUAUUUCAUAACUUUGGGAGUAAUAAUUUUACAGGAACCUUGCAGUCGAUGCCUAUUGCACCUGAUUGGUUGGAGGGCAAUACUAUCUAUGCAUUUUUUGCCAGUAAUAACAAGCUUUCUGGGCCAUUUCCUGGGAAUUUGUUUGAGAAAUGUGGAGAAUUGACUGGUAUGAUUGUGAAUAUCAGCAAUAAUGGAUUUUUUGGUCAAAUUCCUGCUGAUAUUGGUACUACAUGCAGAUCCUUGAAACUUUUGGAUGCCUCUGAAAAUCAGAUAACUGGGACAAUUCCUUCCAGUUUUGGGAAUUUGGCUUCAGUUGUUGCUCUUGACUUGAGCUGGAACCUUUUUCAAGGUCCAAUUCCUAGCAGUUUUGGCCAAUUAAAGGAUCUCAAGUUUCUUUCAUUGGCUGGAAAUAAUUUGACUGGCACCAUUCCCACAAGUUUGGGGCAGUUGCAGUACUUGGAAGUGUUUGAACUGUCGUCAAAUUCUCUCAGUGGUGAGAUUCCUAAAGAUCUUGCAAAUUUGAGGAAUUUAACCACUCUUCUCCUCAACAACAACAAUCUAACGGGACAGAUUCCAUCUGAGUUGGCCAACGUUGCUACUCUUUCGGUAUUCAAUGUGUCAUUCAAUAAUCUGUCUGGACCGCUACCCCAGAAUGGUAACUUGAUGAAAUGUAACAGUGUCCUAGGAAACCCGUAUCUUGGAUCUUGCCAUAUGUAUUCUUUAACAACCCCAUCUGCAGAUCAGCAGGGAAGAUUUGGGGAUCCACAGAAUUAUGCCGCUACUCCAUCUCCUACUCCACCCCAGAAAGGUGGGAACAGUGGUUUCAACUCAAUUGAGAUAGCAUCCAUAACUUCUGCUGCAGCCAUUGUGUCAGUUCUCAUUGCUCUUGUUGUCCUCUUCUUUUACACAAGAAAGUAUAAUCCAAGGUCUAGAGUUGGGGGUCGACCAGGAAGGAAGUUACAGUCUUUACUGACAUUGGUGUUCCGCUGACAUUUGAGAAUGUGGUCCGCGCAACAGCAAACUUCAAUGCUAGUAAUUGCAUUGGUAAUGGAGGAUUUGGAGCAACCUACAAGGCUGAGAUUGCACCGGGGGUCCUAGUGGCAAUAAAAAGGCUAGCAGUAGGACGCUUUCAAGGGGUUCAACAAUUUGAUGCAGAAAUCAAAACUCUAGGCAGACUCCGUCAUCCGAAUCUUGUGACUUUGAUAGGAUACCAUGCCAGUGAAACAGAGAUGUUUCUUAUAUAUAACUAUUUGCCUGGGGGAAAUUUGGAAAAGUUCAUUCAGGAAAGAUCUACAAGGGCUGUGGAUUGGAGAGUACUGCACAAGAUUGCCCUGGACAUAGCCCGUGCACUUGCCUACCUGCAUGAUCAGUGUGUCCCACGUGUUCUUCAUCGCGACGUGAAGCCUAGCAAUAUCUUGUUGGAUGAGGACUACAAUGCAUAUUUGUCUGAUUUUGGAUUGGCUCGUCUGUUGGGAACUUCAGAGACCCAUGCCACGACAUGGUGUGGCUGGAACUUUUGGAUAUGUUGCCCAGAAUAUGCAAUGACUUGCCGUGUCUCUGACAAGGCUGAUGUCUACAGUUAUGGCGUCGUGUUGCUUGAGUUAAUUUCAGAUAAGAAAGCUCUCGAUCCCUCAUUUUCUCCAUACGGAAAUGGUUUCAACAUAGUAGCUUGGGCAUGCAUGCUCUUGAGGCAAGGCCGAGCCAAGGAGUUCUUCACAGCUGGAUUGUGGGACGCAGGUCCCAUGAUGAUUUGGUUGAAGUUCUACACUUGGCAGUUGUGUGCACAGUGGAAUCCCUAUCAACCAGACCCACUAUGAAGCAAGUCGUGAGACGGCUGAAGCAACUCCAGCCGCCAUCUUGUUAGCUACAGUACAGAGGAGUCAGCUGAUUGACACAUUUGAUGCAUAGAGGGGGUCAGCCCGCGGACUUGCACUUUUGACUGCAGAAGUGCACUCGGGGUCUUCACGGGCUGCCACUAGAUUCGGAUUUUAAAGUUUAGGUGCUUGUAAAUUGUAGUAUAGCUUCUGCCCCCAUUUUUCCAUAUCAAUGUCCCUGAUUAGAGAGGGGGUUCACUGAUGGAUCUGCAGAAGAAUGCAGAUAUUCGUUUCUUAAGGUUGUAUACAUGUAUUCAAUUUCUGUUUGCUGCUGUGAAAUAAGAGUCACAAAGAGAAUCAUUCUGCAGAACACCUGCCACUUCAAAAUUGGCCGUGAUAUUUGAUUCUCGUGUACCGUGCCUGAAAUUUUAGAAGUUGCAAUCCCGAAAGAUGUGACUUUUGCCUUCUCCCUCCUCCAGGGAAAGAAAUAUUGCCCGCUUGGGCCAUUAGUAUUGUUCACUGGGUCAAAGCCUGUUUCUCCCAGCCCUCAUAUUAUUUGCUCGGGACAUCGCUGUGAUCUCUGCCUGAUGCUUUAAAAAGAAAGGAUAGAUCUUCGUGAUCUCUGCCUAAUAUGCUCGGUCAGUGGCCUCGCCGUGUCCGGUAUUACCCCUUUAAUUUGUCCCAGUCUUCUCUAUGAUUCUCUGCCUUGCGGCGUUUGCAGACGCAACCAUCCAUUCACUUUCGCUUGAUAUCUCUGUUAUGGAUUAGUCAAAAAAGAACCCGUUUAAGGAGCAGUACUCCGUGCCCAUGCAUCCCGAGAAUUGCUAGAGUUUUGUCGGAAGCCAUACCGGACAUGGAAAUCCGCUAAAAGAGAUAUAAAAUCAACGGAUACCAUCAUAUUGGCGCAUAAUGAAAUAGUAGCAUAUAGAGACCGGGAAGAAGACCUCAUUUGAAAGUAGGAAGUAACAAAAGAAACAACGGAACCCCUCAGCAGUCAAGGCGUCAGCCUAACACAAACAAAUUUAACCAAUAAGUGAUGGACGUCAUUAAAUAAAAUUGGGCAAAUGAAGAAAAACUAAGCAGCGAUGACUAAGUGCUAAGGGGGUUCAUGUUACAGCUUCCUUGCUACAAUUAAGGGUGAAGGGUUAACAACUAUAUGCCUCAAUGGUUGCUCUACUUCAGUUCCGCCUGCAUGCUUGACAAACUCGGCCGGAGACAGGAAGCUUCCAUGGCAAACGCACACAAUUUUUACUUCCUCUCCUUUCUGAUAUCUAUACAAAAAUCCUUCUAUCUUUUUACCAUUUGGCCCAUUUCCAGUUGUGGAGACACAAGGCAUAUCAAGCAUUACAUUCUUGAGCAUCUCCUUUGCUUCUUUUGCUCCCUUGUCAACUGCUGCCUUGCCAACCACUGAUCCAGGAGGCACUUGAGGUUUUUGCUCAUGGUGAACCUUAAGAGAUUGCACGCUGGAAGGGCUCUUUGUGCCAUUCUUUUCGUUCACUGCAGCAAUUAAGAUGCAGUUAAAAGACCGGGGGGAAAAAAUUACAGAUCAAAUAUGCAUCUUCAGGAGCACUUGUUAACAAUUGGAAUCUUCAUCACUAAGUGACAAACUAAUUUUUCCCAUAGGGCAAAGUGGAAAAACUGAGAAUCACAUGAUCCUAUAAAAAAAGCUUGAGCGAACACAUCACAUACACAGCCAGAAAAAUGCUAGGAAUGGUCAAACGCGGAGUACCAACCAACCCAGCAAUGUUGCAUAAUUUGACUAAAAUGGCUAUUCCAAUAAAAGAUCGAAACAACGGUACUUUUGUUACAGCUAAAACAACAUCCUUAACAAAUUGUUCUGGAUGCUUAGUUUUAAAUUUGCAUUCAGUAAAGAUUUCAACGGAUACUCGCCCAAAUUCAUAUUAACCAGGAAUGUUUAUCCAAGAUAAGCUCGAUUCUUAUCCCAUUCAGAUACACUCCGGGGAAUUAGUUUUUCAAGCUGCCCGGCCAGUGUCGCUUUUCUUUUCUAAUCAAAACUUACCUACCAUGAAAGGAGCUUGAUAUUCUCCACAAGGGCAAACUAUUUGAAAAUAAUUAACUCUUUGUCCAAACAUCAAUAUGGUAACUCGAGAAGGGUAUUAAACGUGGUGCCAAAAUAUAGCAACAAAGUUUACGCAUGGACAAAAGACUUGUAAGCAUUAGCAAUAAGUGCAUGGCCAGAAAAGCAAACCAAGAAAUAGGACCUACCGAAGCCACAAAAGAAUGGAAAAUGGGUUUCUGAAUCAGUUAAAAUUAUCAAAAUAUCAUUUAACUAAGACAAAUUAUUCAAUUAUGCUCAUAAGCUAUGGCAGUAACCAGUAUAGAAAGACAAUUCAUCGUGUCAUGCUUAAAGAGGAAACAUAACUAUGUCCACAAAAACUUCAGAGAAGCAUAUGUCAAAUCCAAUUGACUACGCAUAAAUCUUGCACUCGUAUUUUUAGUGAAUGGCGAGUAAGCAAAAUCCAAAAAGGUUAAAUCACUUAAUUCUCUAAACUUGGUCAAAAUUUUAGUUUUGCAAACUUUGGUUUAAACUUUCCAAGCAAAGAUAUUAUACCACUAACCUACCUGAUUUCUAAUUUCUUUGAGAGGCAAGCAACUCCAUACAUAUUACUCAUUGUGCUCAAGUUGAUUGAAACACAUAUCCCACGAAUAAAGCUGAGCUUAAAAGAACCCUAGCCCAACUCUUACAACAACAAUACGAAAAUAGAUUUUGAAGAAGCAUCUGUCUAUAAAAGGAAGCUAGCUAAGCGCAAUUCCUGAAUACAGACUCCACAAUUUCACAUCUUAGAAACCAUUAGGAUCAAAUCAAGCAAGAAGCAAUUUUUCCAUUUGUAUACUCAGAACGUAACCAACCCUCCUCCCCUCCCCCAACCAACCAAAGCACGCUCGCACACACUCACGACAAGCUGCAAAUGCAAGUACACCAAAUUAACCGUGACAACAAAUUUUAAGGAGAAAAAAUGUAAAAGUUACCAACAAAGGUAAGAAAUAAAAACGGAUAAAGAAUAAUCCUAAAAGAGUAAAUACCUUGAAUGGGUUGACUAUGGAAUUCAGAAAUCUCAGAGAAAGCACUGCCUUGUGAUCCAAUUGAUGCCUGGGAUGAUGGCAUCAUAUUUCCAUUCCCGUUCCCAUUAAUGCUGUCUAAACCUUGGCAACUAUUAUUGGUAUUAGUACCAUUACUCUCAUUUUCUUCACCAGAAUAAUCCUCCGGCUCAACCUUCUCCCUCCCAACCCUCAUAAUCUUAAUCUUAUCCAUCCUCCUCCUUUUAGCCUCCAUCCUCCUCAACGACUGCAACUCCUUCCGCUUCCUCCACUCCUGCUCUGUCUCCGUUGGCAGAGAACAAGUCCUUGACAACGGCGAAUACGAAGCAAUUGGCACCAAUGACGCGUGGCUUUCUUCACCGCCUGCAACACCAGCGUACAUGAAAGUUAAUACAGAAGAAGAUCGCAUUAACUUCAUCUUAGCCUGUUUUGGGUCCACCCCAAACCUUCCAUUCAAUGACAGCCCCAAACUUAACUCCACCUCUUCUUCUCCAUUAUCAACCCCGAAUUUUCUUGAUAAAGUAUUCCCGUUCGGCAAGUUAUUGAACAGUAGAUCUUUUGAAAAUCCAUUGACUUGAGUGGGCAAAUGGCCCUUUCCUUUAUUUUCUCCAGCCUCUGCCAUGUAGUUCACCAGCAUCAUUAAUAGAAAACCCAAAAAGAUUCAAUCUUGAAGAUGCUCAGAUGGAAAUAGUCUUACUCCACCAGUAAUAAUUCAAGUAAAUUUCAUUUUCCCUCGCCAAAGAGAACAAGGAAAAAAACAAAGACAAAAGGAAAGAAACAGAUUUAUGGGUCCAGAAAACCUCAUAACAAGGUAAAAUAACAAGUUGUGCAAAUCUCUGAUAAUGUGAAGAAGGAACUCAAAAGAAUUUCGAGGGAAGAGUUCGCCGGCGAGGUGGAGAGCGCCAUGACCGCGAGGGAGACAACAUAAACAAAUGUGAAUAAAUGAAAAGAGCAAUGGGAAAGAAACUGGGGAAAAGAAAUAAAAGGGAGAACUUGAAAUUGGCCUGGGGAGCAUGAAAAGACGAAAAAGGACAGAGAUAUUGAAACGCAAAUGAGUUAGACGUGACACGUGGAUGGGGUGAAGUAUCAUGAGACGACCCACGUGGUUAAGACAAGCUGGUUUGGAGGACGAGGACGGGGAUGACGACGUCAAAAAGCCAAACAAGCGUCCAAAAAGAUGUCUCCUCAACGGACGAGGAUUAUGAGAUAACGGAAGCUACGGACACGUGUAUGUAAAUUUGGGGAUAAAGCGGAUUGGCUUUGCCACGUUGUCAGAAAAUCCCGAACUCGUAAUGCCGCGACGUUUCAUUCAUUCUCUCUUCCCUACCCUUUUUACUCUGUAUGUAUCUUCUGCUGCGUUUACUCCUCCUCCCUAUGUCAAAAAUAAUAGGCUCUAUUUGGAUUCAAGCUCGUUUGGAUUGACUAUUUUUUCAAAAACAGUUUUUCAAAAACAAUAAAAGUUACAACAAAGUAUUCUAAAAGAUAAUCUAAAAAUUAAUUUAAAAUUUUUUAAAAUUUUACCAAAUAUCUCAAAAUAAAGUGCCAAUAAAAAAUAUUUCAAAAUAUUUUCUAAAAAUAUUUCAAAAUAUACUCUAAAAACUCUGCUACAGCAAAGUUUUUCAAAAACAUCCCCAAAAACAGCUAAUCCAAAGAGUUUUUCAAAAAUUAAAUUUUUAAAAAAUAUUUUAAAAAUAGUUUAAAUUUUUUUAAAUAUUUAAAAAGUAUCUCAAAAUAUAUUCUAAAAACUCUUUUAUUCUAAAAUAUUUCAAAAUAAUUUUAAAAAGUACUCUAAAAAAUAGUCUAAAUUUUUUAAAAGUUAAAAAAUAUUUCAAAAUAUAUCCUAAGAAAGACUCUUAAAUAUCUUAAAAUAUUUUCUAAAAUAUGGUAUAAAAACUCUGCUAUAGUAAUAUUUUUUAAAAAUAGCUAAUCUAAAUGGACUCAUUGUACUUUAGUUUGCUAAUUUUCAUUUACUUGUAUUAUUAACAUAUUUUAAAAUUAUUUUUUAUUUUACCUAUAUCACAUCAAAAUAAGUGUUAUAAUACUUUUUUAAAAUAUUAUUCCAAAUGAUCUUCUGUCCACAUACACUCCAAGUUCUUCCCUUAGGUUUUUCUUUUCUCGCUUUAUAAUCUUUCUAGAUCCUCAAUGGCGCUCCGUUUGAAUUAACUGUUUUUUGAGGUAUUUUUGAAAAAUUUUAUUAUAACAAUGUAUAUGAAAAAAAAUUUACAGACUAAAUUUUUUUUUUUGAAAUAUUUGAUAUAUUGUAUGGAUGAGAUGUUUUUUGAUUUAUUGUGUAUUAUUGUAGCAUUGUAUUUGGAAAACUUGUUUUUGAAAAAAUGGCAAUUCCAAAUAGAGCCAGCAUUAAUGAAAAACUACUUAUUCCAGGUCAAUUAAUCAGUAAUUCAAUCAAAUUAAAUUGGUUAAAAAUAUUUUUUGCUACAACGAAAUCCAAUAGCAUUGAUGAAAACCUAUUUAUCAAUCAGUUUAUCGAUAAUUCAAUUAGGUUGGAUUACAACCUGAAAUGUCCAGCAACUUUGUUGCUAAAAGUUUAGCUUCUCCCCUUGAUUUUUCAGAUUGUCCAGGAACCUCCUGAAGGUGUAGAUGGUGUUGGCUAUAUUGUUUUGCACUUUUGGAUGAUCAUCAUAAUUAGCCCAGUGACUUUAAUUGAUUGUAAUUUGUAAAGACAAUAUUCCGAAACUUCCCCUCAGCCUGGGGGUUAGCCCAUGGAGGAUGCCAAUUUCUUUUGAUUGAUAGCUCGUCGAUUCAACGUUUUGCCGAUUUCUAGACUGAACUAAGUCAAGAUGGUGGCCUGUCUAAUUUUUUUUUUUUUUUUUUUUUGUGGGUCCAAGGUCAACUUCUAUAUAUAUUAGUGGCCUGUCUAAGUAAUUUGUGCUUUUGAUUGCUGUUAACACUUUUAGCAACUGGAGAUCAAAUGACUCUUAGAUGACUUUAAGACUGGUUGGAGAUGGUUUAUUACAUGGGUUGAAGACUUGGGAGUUUUUACAUGUGUUGCAGGCUUUGAAGCCAAUUUUUUUCUCAAACAAGGAAAAAUGGUUGCAGAUUCUGAAAGCCGCUUUUAGAAGUUUCAUUGGCUUCCUUCUGCUACAAGUGCAUCUUUGAACUCAGGCUGAGUUUGGACUCUGCACCCCAAAAAAAAAAAAACUUUGGUCACUUCUGAUGCUGAGUUAAUCUUUCGGUCGGGGGAGAGCCCGAGUUGCAGACAUUUGGGCCUCACUCCACUGUCGUUGGCCUGGGCGCUUGAGACAAGCAAACUGCUUGAUACAAGUUAACAUUUUUCUUCCAGAAAAUGGUAUCAAAAGUUUUCCUGCUCCAAGGCUUGAUGGGGAACCAAUGUCCUGAGUAAUAGGGCUUGGAGGCCCCAUCUAGGAUGCUUUUACCGGAUCAGGAAAAUCUGCAUGAGACAUCCAGAAUUUUUCUAAUCUAAACGGUUUGACAGAUGGGUCUUGGUUCAGGGGAUCAAGCUUAAGCAAGCUCGGACAGUGAUCCCAAUGGAGUCUGGCUAAAUGAAUGAAUUGGGCAUCUGGGAAUCAAGUAACGCCAAUCUGGAUUACAAGAGACCCGGUCCAACAGUUCGUUUGUCACCACUACAAUCGAAUCAUGAUCCGGAUCAUUAUUCGCACAACUUUUGUCUUGGAUUGCAGAUUCCUGCUCUUGCGGCUCCAGCUAGUUGAACUGAAGCAUGUGUAUCGGGAAGCUAACGGAUGUGCUGAUGCUUUAGCAAAGUUGGGAUGCAAAUUGGAGAAGCCUUUUGUGAUUUUUGAAUCUUGUCCUCGAGAAAUUUCUUUUGCGUAUGAUGAGGACAACAGAGGGGUCUAGCAAAGUUGGGAUGCAAAUUGGACAUGCCUUUUGUGAUCUUUGAAUCUUGUCCUCGAGAAUUUUCUUUUGCGUGUGAUGAGGACAGCAGAGGGGUCUGUUUACCCCGUAGUAUUGGGUUGGAUUGUAAUAGUUAGGCAUCAUCUAUCGUACUUUCUAUUUCUUAUUAAUGCGGAUUUCAUGCUUUUUUUUUUUUUUACAAAAAAAAGGGGGGGGGGGGGGGGUUGUUGAAGGUUGCGUUAAAAGAAAGAAAGAAAAAGAAAAAAAUGAGGAGCUGAAGAUUGUACCUGUUGUAGGGCCGCGGUACGAGUUGGACGAGAAAAGAGAGUUAAUAGCAUUGAAAUGACAAUGCUUGCUUGACUGCUUGAGGAUGGACGGUAAAAACUUCAAAGUUCUCAAAAUAAACGGAGGACGGACGGUGUGGUUAAGAAACUAGAGAGCGGCAUGGCAUACUAGUAGUACUCCAUCAUUACCGACGGAUGUUGGUGCAAGCGAAAGGGGCUUGCAUUCCUUAAUCACGAGGUCUUGGAUUUGAAAUUUAUGAGAAUGGAAAAGACAAUGUUGGGAGAGUUUUCCAUUACAAGGGAUCUGAUGCGGUUUAAAUAGGAUUAAUCGUAGAUCGUGAAAUGGAUGCAAAUGCCUGCGGGUUAUACAAAAAAAAAAAUAGUACUCCACCAUUUAACCCGUCAUUGUUUAAUACGAACUAUUGAAAUAGGGCUAUUUUUGUGAUUUUUGCUAUAUUAUUUUCAUGUAUUUGCAUGAAAUGAACGGUGUGGUCCUGUUUCACAGUAAUUAAUUAAUGUAUCAGUUUUUGUGACGUGAUGUAUAUGAGAUAAAAAAAAAAUUACUGAGAAAUAAAAAAUUGAUUGGGAAUCGUAAUUUUCAUGCAAUCAAAAUAAUAUUCGAAAAGAAUAAUGUUUCCAUCCAAACACGCUCGACCGGCAGAUACAGCUUUCAUUUUUUGGAACCAAUCCUUUAUUUGGUUCGUUCCUGGGGGUCAUUUUUCCAGAAUAGAGCAAUAGAAAUUACGUUCAUCGGCUAGAAAACAUGUCUGCGGUACGUAACGCAAUUUGUGCUGCAAGAGAGGCAGCUUGCUUUUACUGUUUGGGGGUCAUGCAUGGCGUGCCCAAAGGCAUCGUAAUGUCAUAUUGGAGGGUAAAUUGUCUUACCGUAAUUGGUAAUGGGCACUCUCCUAUACCGUAUGUUUUGUGUCAAAUUAAGUAAUCUUUUUUUUUGGCUUGGGUGUACCCAAUUCAGCUUUCUACUGUAGCCAAUUACAACUCAAAAAGGAGUGCAGGCCUCAGUCUGGCAAGUUCAAAGAUUAAAUUGCAGUCCCUCGCCAAGGGGCCCUCUCCGAUUGAAUCUGGCAGCUUACUGUCCCUUUCAUCCUUGUUAUCGUUUGCAUCUCUAUCAUCAUUAGGGACAAUUCUAUGGCUGAUACACGCAGAGAGAGAGAAAGUGAUAGAUAUACAGCGAACAGUAGAGCCCAUCCCAUCCGUAUUGCUUAAGAAUAACAAGAACAAAACAGAAGAAAAUAUUUCUGAAAUUCGAGUUACCAACACACAAAAUUCGCAAAAAAAAAAGGUAAAAACUGUGAAAUAUUAGCAAAGGUCAUGCAGGCCGCUGUUUGCUCGUUUCUGCAUCUUCUGUCUAGGCAUUUAUUUCGGCUUUUAGGCCGUGAAAGGGGUAUAGACGACCCUAGAAACGAAGAAAAUGGGAAAAAGAACCGAGUGAUCUGAGGAAGGGGAAUAGUAAAUGCUCCCAGUUAAUGAUACAAAGCUGGCAGAGAAAGUGAACUGCAAUUCCUCUCUGGCAUAAAACUUAAAAAAAAAAAAGAGAGACAGAUGAAACAACUUUGCAUUACAUUAACUUUAAAGGACCUUCUUUCUGUGUUUUACAGUCAUCCUCGUUUUGGAGACCUACUUUUAUCUCGAAGAAAGAUGUCAAGUGAGCGACACAGCAGACUGCAGAGUCGACGGAGCAUCCCAACUUCUCGUACUCUUGCCCAGGAUUUACGACUAAUUCUUGAAUUCAUUGGAUGAGGCAAAGGUAAUCUCUCUCUCUCUCUACAUAUAUAUGCAUGGAUGGAAUGAAUGAAACUUCUUCAAUACCCUGAGUUGCACUUUUUCUUUUUCUUUUUUAAAAAAAUCUUUCCACGGUCAUUAAAUUGGGAUAUUCAGACCGUUUCGAUUUGUUUGGAACACAGAAACAACCUGAGGUGAAAAGACCAAGCCUAGCUGCUUAAUCUUUGGUAAUGCGCGCAUGUUUGAGACCUAAACAUCGAAGGGCACAAAUAUCCUAGUAUUUUGAGUUCAUCCGCUUGCUCUCCAGCCGACAUGGAAUCUGGGACAAGUAGGAUUGAGGCUUUGAUGCACAUUAGAAUUUGGGCCAAGUCGUUCAUCAGUUAAUAUUAGUAGCAAUCGGGAAAGAGCACUUCUCCUCGUACUCCCUCCGUCCCACUUUGAUAGUCCUGUUUUCCUUUUUUGUCUGUCCCAAAUUACAGUCCACUUUCCAAUUGAAGAAUGUAGUUGUAUUUUCAUUUUUCUUAAAUACCCUUAUUCAAUACAAGUUGUUGUUGCUAUAAACCUACCCCAUUUAAUGAGAGUUGAUUCUUUUUUUACCAUCAAUUCAAGUUCCCAUAAAGUUGUACUCUAUUUAAUGUGAGAGUAUUUUAGGAAAAUAGCAAUCUAAAUUUAUUUUUCCAACAAAAUUAACUACUUUUUCUUAAACUGUGUGAAAAAAGAAACAGAACUAUCAAAGUGGGACGGAGGGAGUAUAUUCUUUUUCAAGGAAAUAAGACGAAUUACACUAGUAGCUAGGCGAGAAAUUUUUGGGACGCGUUGAUUCCAUCAUUACGGGUCAUUAAUUUGCUGAUAAGUAGGUUCACUUUUUGAUAAAAAUCAUACAUUAUGUUACAAAAGUGUGCCUUAUUCAAUGUAAGUAGUUGUUACUAUAAAUCUACCCCAUUUAAUGAGAGUUGAUUCUUUUUUUACCAUCAAUUCAAGUUCCCGUAAAGUUGUACCAUAUUUAAUUUGAGGGUAUUUUAGAAAAAUAGCAAUCUAAAUUUACUUUUCCAACAAAGUUAACUACUUUUUUUUAAACUAUGUGAAAAAAGAAACAGGAUUAUCAAAGUGGGACGGAGGGAGUACACUAUACUAUCACCGUUGGAUGCACGACACAUAUGCAAAAUUUGGAUUUCAAAUUUAAACUCGAAUUAUAUAUCAUGCAUUCAAUCCAACGGUGAAAGUGUAGCACUGUCAAUGUAUAGAAGAUUAAUUCAAAAAGAAUUGCAAAAUUUUGAAGCCGGUGAGUUUUAGGGGCUUUUCCCGGGGAAUUGCCUAAUACUACCCAACUCCAUAUAUAUAUAGGAAGCAAAGUCCUGCCUUAGGUGACUAUAGACAUACAUAGAUGUGACCUAACUAACUACAAUCACCAAUUAGCACAUUCACGACCAAGUCAGCAUAACCAACCACGUAGUUGAGGUGCAGAACCAAAUCACCAAUCAUCUUUGAGCUGCGGGCUGCCCCUACUUAACUAGAAGUGAUUUGCCGCUUUCAUUACCUUAUUAUUAAGCCCUUUUUUUUUUUCCUGGUUAUCUUUUCAGAGCAAUUACUAGUAAUGUAACGUAUGAUCAACAAUUUUACACCCAGCAAUCUGGUCAACUGAUCAUGCUACUAUGAUAAUGCAACAGAUUCUUGCUUGCCGAGCGAAGUAAGACAUAUGAUAACUGCGAUUUUGUAAAGCUGGGAAAAUUGAAAAUUAAAAGAAAAAAAUUGUGGGCUGAAGCCUGACGCCUGCCGGGAGGCCCUCGAAUGCAAAGAUUAAAAAGGAUAAGAGGCCGACCGUAGAUCAUAAGACGUGAAUAGUACUAGAUUCUGAUCCCACAGUCAUUCGUGUCUGGGAUCUGGGGACCAUUCAUUCAUCUCUGGCAAUAAUAAUAAUGGAUGAUUGGAUUACCCUCAAAAUCUCACUGCUUCGCUCUUCUCUCGAGAUGCAUGAUCCCUCCCCCCACAGCCAACUGCACUGCACUGCUCAUCUUUUUACGUUUUACCCCUACUGCUGCUCUGAAACCCGUCUCUUCUUCUACCCCUCUCAACUAAAACCCUUACAAAAGAUCCCCCCACCACCACCACUACUACUAGUUAACUGCGUUUAUAAUCGGCACUCAUAAAUGCCUAACCUCUCCAUACAGAGAAGAAAAGGGAAAAGAAAACAAAAAGAUCGAUUAAAGACUUUUGAGGUAAUUAUAUAUUGAUCCUCAAAUUAAAGAAGAAAGGAGAAGAAUAUAUAAUUUGUUGAAAUAUGAAUGUGGUUUUUUGACUGCUUGAAUUUCUGGUACCAUCAUUUCAUUUUCGUGCAUCUCUUGCCUGAGGAAGGACUCCAACGCUUGCUAUAGGUUGUUGAAGGGCUUAAAGAUUAUGUCAGAAUAUCAUACCAUCUGCUGCUGCUGCUGCCGCUGCUAGUAUUUUGUGUUUUUCUUCUACAUGGCAGCAAAUCUGACAUCCAAGAAAUACCGUACUCAUGCCCAACUUUAAACAUGCGCAUGUGAAUCAUAACAGAUAGCUUUCUACACUAGUACUUCUUCUGUUCUCCUCUUUCCCCCACUUUCACAAAUAUAAAAUCCAAGGGGAAGCAACAUGACAGUACCCCUCUUCCGAUCCCCCCAAGGCUAACAGUUUAACGUUCAUAUUUCCAAAAGAGAAGGGAAUUACGAAUCAGUAGUUAGUAUUUCUUUGCCCUUUAUACGUCCGGAGCUUCUUCCGGUAAAGAAUGGUAAAAUUCCCGUUUCUGUUGUCGAUCGUUCAAAGUGCUGCUCUGCCUACUGAACUUAAUACUACUAGUUGCUUUAAUUUUGCAUCCAUGCUCAUAACACAUUUGGUUUGGUGUAAAGCAGCUCAAGAGCAACGCAUAUAUUUUUUACUUGUACAUUUGAGUUUUUCAGAGUGAGAUAUUGAUGUAUACAUAUAUAUAUAUAUACAUACAGACACCAUUUUCAACUUACUCCAUGCAGGAAAGUUGAGUGGUCCUGAUCCAUUUUUCCUUUCUCUACAAAGUGGGCGUUUUAAAGGAGCAGUGCAGAACUGGUCCCUCACCUACCAAGCACAUAAUGUAAACUGCAAUACCAUAUGCUGCUACUAAUCUAUAAGAAUAUAUAUAUAUAUAUGCUUCCCUCUACUUAUGCAUGCAUAUAUGCAUAAUACACAUCAAAGAUGACGCUGUUGCUUUCACUAGUUUUUACCCAGACACCAUUACUUUUCAAGAUUGAUCAAACUUUCCUAAUUGACACUAGUUCUGCUGCCUACUACUGUAACUUGGCUUGUCAAAUUCUCACCUCACUUCAAGUAACAUUUGUUUGCUUAUAUGCGAACAGAAGAAGACACGACCACGCAUGCCACUGCUUGCUAGCGAAAUGAACAAGACGACACAGUAGCAUGAUUCCCUAUCAUGAUUCAUGACCAGCCAAUUAAAGUUGCAAUUACUUAAUUCAUGACCACUCCAUCCAUCUCACUAAUUAAAUCUAACUUCAAACUCAAUGCAUAGACAUAGACAUAGACACAAAUAGCUUCUGAUUUUUAUUAUUGGUGCCCGUCCUAUUGAUUGGUGUUCUUAGAAUUAGGGCCACGUGAACAAAUUGAGUCCAAUUAAUAUCUGUCAAUUCAAGCUGCGUGAGUGAAUGAAUGCACGUAAACUAUAUAGUGGCCAUUAAUUCAUAAGGUCUGAAUACUCUUCUUGGCUAAAAUUCAUUCUCUCUCCGCUUAAACUUGGACUUAAACAAAAUACUAUAACUACUCCUAGCUACUGUAUUUGAUCAAAAAAUAAGUAAACAAAAGAAAAAGAAGAGGAAAAUCAAUGUCGACUACUGAAGCAGCGCAGCGGGUCUAAAAGUUUUUGCAACUUCAAUUGGAAUUCAAGCAGCUAGAGUUGCUUCUUCUUCUUCUUCUUCUUCUUUUUCCUCAUUCAGCUGUCAAUACAAGCAUCAAUUAAAGGCCAACUUUCCGAACAAACGUGUUCGAUGGUCCCCCAAGGCAAAGGUUGUUGAAAUAGAAACCCCGGCCUUUGCUUCCUUAGAAGCAAAUUAAUUUGUCUCUCAGGACCAAAUGAUACAUACAUACAUACAUACAUAUGUAUGUAUACAUAUACCUAUAGUUAGUACGCACCAGCGGUGAGUGGUAUUUGCCUGCCAGAAAACAACGUCCGGAGUGACAUUGCACUUGCAGAAGAAGGUCACGCACGACUUUGUUAUCAAGGCAAUGAUAGCUCAGCAUGCGUGAAGAAAAUUUGAUAAGAUUUUGACUAGCACAUUAUUUUAUCUGUCAGAUGCCAAGGGUACACGUGGCUGUCCAUGAGCCACUGCUUUCUUUCCUGGGGUUUAUUUUUCCCCCCUUGUGCCGUGGUCGGUUGAAUUCCGGCAUCUUCUCUUCACCAUCGCACAACUUCAUUUAAGUGUGUUCUCUCUGCAAAUGUUGAAAAUUGAGCGUCCUCCUUCAAAACCUUCCCCACAAGUUGUUGAAGAGACAGCUAGGGCUCCGCAGCACUGAAUCCAAAGAAAAUUAAGCUGCCAUUCUUUCUUCUCUUCAUGCUUUGCAAUUGGCAACACACCUAGGAGCUGCUUGCUUGACUGUCGCUGCGGUAAGUGAGAUUUUUCUCUCAUGCUUAUCAUUCCUUAUCGUGCACUGCAGAUUAAGAUUACUUGAAGCAUAGCUUCGGUAGAGGGCUUCCGCUGCCCGCGUGGCCCCUUUUCAUUUCCUGCCAUAAGCCGUCUUCAGCAACCGCACUCAGCAUAUUGUCGCAUCACCAUGGAAAUAUUAAUAUUUGGUCUUUACCCUACUUAAAUUAUUGAUUGGCAUCCUAACAAUGCAGACAAAUAUUUUUUGCACUUUUUAUGUUGAGGGUUGUUUAAUUAAUAGCAAUGAUUGCUCGUAUAUUUAGCUUUCUUCUUUUAGGUUGCGGCGCAGAAAACUGUUUCUGAGAAUUAAGUCCCUAAUUUCGUGAAAGGAGAGUUGCUUCCUUCAGUUACAUUCCUUGGGAGCACUAGUCGAACUGGUUGGCUUGCAUUUUCGGUAUUUGACCCCAAUUAUCAUGAGAAACAAAAGAUGAUUGCCAGGGAAAUAGAUGCGGCGGCAGAUGUUACAGCAAAACAAGAAGGCAACACAGCAACAGAUGAGAAGACUUCUAAUUAUAAGGCUUCAAUAUCCGGUACUUCUGCAGCAGCGGCAUCAUCAUCAUCAUCAUCAUGGUCAAGGUUGAAAGAUCCACGGAUUGUGCGGGUGUCAAGGGCAUUUGGAGGUAAAGACCGGCAUAGCAAAGUCUGCACUGUGAGAGGGCUUAGAGACAGGCGUGUUAGACUUUCUGUUCCCACAGCUGUUCAACUUUAUGAUCUUCAAGACAGGUUAGGGCUUAGUCAGCCAAGUAAAGUUGUUGAUUGGUUGUUGAAUGCCGCCAAGCACGAGAUAGAUGAGCUGCCCCCGCUGCAAAUGCCUCCCGGAAGCUUUAACCAUAGUUUUCAACCAGUUUGGGCUACUCAUCAUCCUGUAGUUGGAGCUCAUCAAGUAACCAAGGAUCAAGGACUUAGGAUUGGUGCUAGUAUCAAUUGGGGGGAUCACGAUCAUCAUCCUAGUGAACCAUCAGGGUCGAAGACGUGGGAUUCGGAUGCCAUUUUGAGGCCUAAAUCCAAGGAAUUAAUCGCAAGGUCAGGGGAUUCGUCCGAGGAUAAAGAAACUUGGACAAGAUCAAGUGAAGAGGGGAAGCAACAUAGCAAUAAUUAUGAAAGCACUAGUCAUGGCGCUGCAUAUUUUUCAUCCAACAAUUUUUUCUCAAGACUUGGCCACUCUACUUCACCAAGCCUAGGGUUGCUGAAUAGCACAGUGCUGCCAUACAAUUCUUUAAUCAGAUGGGAUCCUUCAAAUUUGUCUUUGUCACAAUCUGGAAGCCCAUCUGGGUUGACUCCAGUACCCCAACCGGAAGAUUUCCACAACUUCAGCGUUGUGCCAUUGCCAUCAACGAUGUCCGUGCCAUCAGGCGGACCUCAGGUUCUCGUGUACCAGCCUGCUAGUAGCAUAACGCAGUCUUAUUUUCCUUCCCACAUUGCUCCUCCUGUUACAGUGGAUUACGCCCAGAAACAAAUCGAGUUCCAAAUGCUGAACUCGACUACGGAAAAUCCACUCACGAGUUCCCUAGCACCACCUGUUAGUGACUCUACAAGCCAACAUGCUGCUGGUAGACCCUUUCGCAUACUAAGUACAACCACCAAUCUCCUCCCUUCACAAAAUGAUCGCGAAAGCAAGCAAGACCUUGACAAUGACUUCAGUUCAAGGUAAUUAAUCUCAAACCUCUAUAUAUAUUACAAAAGUUUGUAACUGCUUCAGAACCAAAGCAGAUAUAUGUAUGGCUGCAUGAUUAGGAGUAAAUUUGUGAUCAAUGUAUACGUAUAGUAUUUUAGAGCAAAACAUUUUGAGGGAUCAAAUAGGCCUUCGUGGGGGUUAUAUGUGCAUUUGAUGACAAUCUAUUGCUUCAUGGAAAGUUCAAUUUGAGAUGUUAACAAUUGUUGUCAUCACUGCCAUGAUCUCAUGAUUGAUUGUGUAAGCUUUCAUUGCUUGAACUGCCGAGAAACCCUUCAAAGAGAUUUACAUUUGGACCCUAUUCAAUUGGUGCGACAGAUAUUUCAUGUUUGAUAAGAAGAUGCAAAACUGGAUUUUUAUUCAUAUCGACCGAGGAUACAUGAAUGCCUCAGUAGAGAGAGUGAAGGACCAUUAAUUAUGGUUAUCUUGUCGGUCGAUCAUACCCAUUAGUAUCUGAUAUGUUGUUACGUUGCAAAGUUUCUGAAUGGUGUUUGUAUACAUUAUUCAUCUUGUUAUUUUGCCAAGCAUUUGUACAACGAAUAUGCUAAGCACUCAAUUGGUAGAUCCUCUUUUCAUGGCUGAUCUAAUUAUUUACUUCGUAGACAUGUAGUUCUGAUGUUCUUCAGACUUUUCAACUUUGUUUGGGGAAAAAGAGCAGCGAAACUUUCUUUCGAGAUUGGUACUCGUUUUUGCAGCCUCACAAGAAAGUUUGGCCAAUGUGCAGAGACAAAAAGACGUAUACGUGUUAAAUGAAAUGCUAGUCUUUUCAACCAUCUUCCACACUGAUUUAGGGAUCUUUUUUUUUUUAUUUUGGGCGGGGGGGGGGGGGAUAAUCCUCUGUGUUUUGACUUAGUUAAACCCUAGUACAAAAACCAAGUGAAGAGAGGAGAUAAGCAUAUUGCAUUUGUUUUGAGACUAAUUUGUGUGAAAAAAGUAAAGAAUGAGCAAAGAUGGGGCUGUCGCGAUUAAGAACAAAAAGAAGUAGAAAAGGGUGUGUUUUGUGGAACAAGACGGGAUAGAGAUUGCAGUAUAGUAGCUAGUGGUGUGUAGCUAUCUCUGCACGAGAUCCAACAUGAGUAUCUGCUAGUGUUAGAAGGAGGACCAGCUGAUUAAGGACCCCUUAAAAGAGAGGCAUCAAAAGAAAAGAUGGGAGGGUUUGUGGUCCUCAACCAAGAACCUUGGGGAGGACAAGGGAGAAGCCGAAAGAAGAAGAGAAGAAGCCCGUGGUACAAAUACAAUACAAAGUUUACUUAGGGUUCGAUCGGAAGCUUUGCUCUUUUCUUUUGAUCGAGAGGAUCAUGUUUGUUAAAUAAGGGACCACAUGGAAAGCUUUCGCAGGAGAUCCUUCACCGGCCAAUUUUGUUAGUCCACUGGUCCUAUUCUUAUUUCAUACGCUGCCUAGCAAGCCAAAUGACUUUAAUGGCUUAGUCAUUUUCUCUUCGAGUUUCUGUAAUUUAUUAGGGAUAACAACCGCUGAAAUAUUCACACCCAUGAAAGCUAUCUGUGUAGCAUUUCUCCUACUUCUUGACUUUCUGAAGUUCUCUGAUAAGGAUAAGACCCUCCGGGAAUCUUGACAGCCCAAAGAUAGUAGAGAACAAUGGAAACACGCCUAACGUUAUAUACAUUGGACAUCUUGCAGUUAAUCCAUGUUAUUCUUUAUUCUUUUUUUUUUUGUUUUCCAGAGACGAACAUCUGACCAAACAGGUGUAGUACGUAUCUAUCUGAAUUUUUUGAAACAAAUCCACACAUUUUAACGAGGUAAUUGGUGGGAGGCCAAGUUUUAAAGGCUUGAUAGUCGGUGGGGUUGGUGGUUAGUUAAUCCUUGUUAUUCGGACUUCCACUCUCUAGAGUUUUUGAAUCAUUGGUCAAAGAUGAGAGUAAUAGAUCUUCUUUGCGUUGCAUUUUCUGCAUAUUUGGUGCCCAUCUAGAGUUCAUGAUGUGAAGCCUAUAUUGCGAUGUCAAAUGUGUAAUGACUGAAUGCUUCAAAGAUUAAAUAAUUUUGUGUCAAAAAACUACGACAAGUAAAAUGAGAUAUCGAUCAAAGCAUGGUGAUUUGUAAUGUACGUGCUACAUCGAUGACAAAAGUCACAGCUUUUCCCCCGAUUUUCUAUUACUUGCACGUCACAAAGACACAGUUCGAGUGCAAAAGCUCAUUUAACAAUUUCACUAGAGAAGAAGGGGAUGUUUGAUCCAUUCUUGAGGUGCAUAUAAAUACUAUAUAUCUUUCAGGUGUUUAUUGCCCCUAUUUUACUUGUUAAUUUGCUUUUGGGUUAAAAAUUUGAGAACAAGGUUUGCUAUAUAGGAAUGAAGAAAGAAUUGAGAAUUCCUAUAUUCAGCCACUCUUUUUGAUCGUCCCUCGUUAAAACUUAAGGACUUUUCACCAAAAAUUCGUUAUGUCAAAUUAAGCCACAAAAGAAUACCAAUAUACAACUUUUCACAAGUGUACUAGAAUGGUUGAUUGUCUCUUGUAAUUGAUUUGCUGAGAAGAAAAGCAAGUCAGUUAAGGAAUAUGUAUUUUUUUUUUCCCUUUUUCUAUGGUCACAUGAGGGGAAAAUAGACUACAACGAUCAAAUCCCAUUUUAGGUAUCCCUUCAUUGCUACAUCCUUAUAUAUUUGGCAUCCUAACUAGUUAGCUUAUAUAUAUAUAUAUAUAUACACACUUCUCAAUUGGUUGGUUGUAUGGGUAGGAAUGGAGGGAUUUUUGUCGGUGUUUAUAUCUCUCAGUAGACAGGCUGAUUAAAGCUUGACGAUAUUGCCCAAGCUAAAGCUAAAGCUAAAGCACAGCAUUACACAUCUUUCAUUCUCGAUGAAGCGAAGCUUUAUGAUGGUCGCAAUACUUUAGAUGCUUAACAAUUUUCAUUUCCUUGACACUAAUGAGAGGAAACAGCUGCAUGCAAGCCUACGUCGAUUAUGUCUUACAAUUUACAUGCUAUAUGUACGUAAGCAUAUAUACAUGCAUAUACAUGUAUGGGCAGUUUUGCUUUUCUUGAAUUUUUUUUAAAUUAUUUUUUUUAGCAAUGGAGAACAAAUUAAGAGGGAUUUCAAUACCCCGACCUUUGAGGUUAAAGUAUGUUAACUUUGCCCAGGCUGUGGCAAUAAGCUCUUGGUAUUAGAAAAAGCUGAGCUGUGGGGUGUAUGUAAUGUUAUAAACCCUCGAACGCAUUCUAACAAAACUAAUUGUGCCCUACCAAUCUUCUUUUGGUGCCAGUCCUGCCUUUCUUUUUAUUCAUUUUCAAAGCACAGACAACUUAACAGAUCGACUGCAGAUCGUGCUUUUAAUACGGCUUCGCAUGCCUAAGAAAUUUUCACCUCCUAUGUUGCAUAUAUGAGAAGAGAGCCCAUUUGUGCCUGCUCCUGUAACCAUGGUUUUCCAAUGUAACUAAUGUGCCUUUAUGUUAAAGUCUACAGAUCACUGCUAAUUUUUUAAAGGGGGGAAAAUGAUAACCAUGAGAUGAGAUAAGACUUUCUUGAAUUUGUUUUUGAGUUACUUCAGAAAUCUAGAUUCUAGAAGUGAUUCUAUGAGGUUUAAGAGCCCAACGACAUGGAACCCUUGCUAACAAAUGGGGAAAAAAAAAAAAAGGGCAGACAAAGAAUUCAACGGUUUUUAAAAGAAAAAUAAAAAAAAGAUAAAAAAGUGAUUGAAAAUAGUUGUGAUUGAAAAUAAAAAGAUAAAAAUGUUCUUCUUAGACAAUAAAGAAUUACGAUCGCGUAGAAUAGAUUAAUCAAUCCAAAAAAAAAAAAAAAGGUGAUUAGAGAACAAGGGAAGUAACCACCAGCCCAAAAGGCUAGUGGCCACCAUCAAGCCUUUAAGACUUGAUAGGGCCCUUACCUCCCACUAAUUGCCACAUUAAAAUGUGGAUUUGGUUCAAAAAAUCCAGACGAGUACCUAGUGCAUCCGUGUGAUCCGGUAGUAGUUCAGUCCCCUUCAAAUUACUUCUGAAUCUCCUUAUGUCCACCCCCUUCCCUAGUAUAGGAUAGAUUAUGAUAUACUACAGUUAUGGUUUCUAAAAAAAAAAAGAGAGAAAGAGAGAGAACAAGGGAAGUAGAUUUGUUCCUUGAAUAAUAAGAGAUCCGAUGAAAUAAUAAUGUCCUUUUUCACUAUUGAAGGCACCUAACUAGAUCCUUUCCAGACUUUGGCAAUUGUGACGGAACCUCGUCUCUUGGACCUUACUCUAACAUCUCUAAGUGAUCCUCGCCAGUCUUAAGAUUGUACUUGCUCCAGAAACUAUAAAUAAAUAAAUUAAAAGUCUUAGCCCUCAGAUUCUACUGAAUUACGUCUUCUUGCAUCGUAUAAUUGAAGAUGGUGUCUUGACUUGCUGCAGCCCAAUAGACGUGUGGUAAAACUCACGGACACCGACCGAGAGACGAAAGCAACAGGAUAACCCAGGCUAAGGCCCAAGCCCAACCCAACAGAAAAGUUCAAAAACAGAAUGGAAGGAGAGCUCCCGGCGAGGAUCGAACUCGCGACCUUUCGCUUACGAAGCGAACGCACUACCACUAUGCUACGGAAGCCGGUGUUGUCCUCGUUUUCCUAGUCAUUUGACUAGGGACAUUUACAGGAUACGUAAGGAAAAAAAAAUUUGUCACGCUUUGGGAUGAAAACUGGUGAGGUAAGAAUUAUUUUCAUUUCUUUUCCACAUUUUGCUUGCAAUCCAACGUGUAGAAAUUGGGUUCACGCACACGAGAGUUUAGAUAUCUCCCACCUAAAACAUAUUAUUCAUAUUUAACUAAUCAAAAUCUACUGCAAAAAUUAAGCCCUUACUUGGUGAGACACUUCUAAUCCUUUGCGCCUACUUCUAAUCCUUUCUCAUCAUCAUCCAUAACAAACUCAUAUUAUUGAUUGAUAGAGGAAGAGAUUCAAAGCGGUGAAGUUAGGAGAUUGACAGAGGGAGAGAAGGAAUAGUUUGGCAGUACUGGAAAACUGCUUUAUUUCAUGUUCAUGAAAAGUUAGAUGACAGAGAAAAUAAAUAAUUAACAGUAUAUAUGAAGUUAUCAAAUUUCAUAGAAGAGACAGUCACAAAUUUACUUUGACUGAUCAGUGUAAACUCAUCUUACAUUAACGGCGUAGAAAAGAUUUAAUUUGAAAUUAAAAUUUCAUUUGAAAUGGCAAAAACAUCGUAAAAUUGAACACGUACACAAACAGGAAAAAUAAUACUUGUAUCCUUUAUCACGUUAACACUUACCAAAAUUUAAGAAUUUCAAUACAUAUAUUAUGAAAAAACAAAGACUAUGUUGCCUUGUUUUUUCUCUUUUUGGCCUUUCAAUAAAAGUUUUAAACAUUAAUUUUCUUUUAAAUUUUUGUGUCACGAGUUUCAAUUUAAUUGUGUAAAAUCACAGCUUUUUUCUGAACCAUGUACUUUAAAGGUACAUGAUUGAUUAUAAACAUAUCAAAAGAAGAGAGAAAUAUAUGACAAUUGUAAAAUUAUCAACCACCACUUAAAUUGUGAUUAUUAUUUCAUGAAAAGAAUAUAUCUGUUUCCGUAGGAUAGUAUAGUUAAGUGUUGGAGGGAAAUACUAGUAAGUGUGUUUGGAUCGCUGAAUUAUUUUUUUUAAUAUUUCGCUUGCACCAUAAACAUAAUUUUCAAUCUACUUUUUUAUAUUUUUAACUAUCUUUUUAUCUCACAUACAUUACAUCAUAAAAAAUAUUAAAUUAAUUAUUUCAAAUAAUACUCUAUCCAAACACACUUAAUAGUACUUAAUGUGUCUGAAUAGGAUAUUAUUUGGACAUUUAUUUUGUAAUUAUAUAUAUUUUUUAUAAUUUGAUAUAUGUGAGGUAAAAAUAAUUAUAAUCUCGUAAACGCAACCGAAAAGGUGUUUGUAAUCCAUAUAUUAAAAAAAAAAACCAUGUAGUAGUGCAUGUCUGAAUACUCUUUUCAUUAAACACGCGUCACAUCAUGACCGGCCGUGUCCGGCUUCUUGCAAUCCCAAUCUCACCGCCCCAAUCCUCGCCGCUUCUCCAAUUCUCCGUCCAUAAAUACAAAACCCCUUAUCUAAACCCGACGUCCCUUCUCCUUAUGCCGGCGCCCUUUUCCCCAUCUCUCCCAAGGCUCGAACCCGGAAAAGGAAGAUAACUCCCCCCCCCCCCCGAAAAAAAAAGGUCCAGGUUUUUCUCUUUCAAUUAGCCCUUCUACCUGCUUGUCAAGUAAUAAUCUUUUAGUACGAGACGUAAUCUUCGGGUCUGGUCUGGUCAGAGCGUUACUCGGGGUGUGCUUUUUGAACUGAGCUCAAGCUCUACCUCGGUUGCCGCCAAUAAAACCCUAGAAAACUGUCCAUACGUAUAUUUCUGAUCUAUUUUACCUUUUACCUCCUCAAAUUUUUUGAAUUUCUUAACUCAACAAGUCCUGUGGAAGAAUCUAGGGUUUUUCUAGGAAUGGUUUCAAUUUUGAUUUCUCCUCCUUUGUCUGCAAAAUGGAUGGAAUUUUGGGAAAUAUAGUUUGGAUGAAGUGAUAUGAAGUGGCGGUGCCGAAUAUGAGCGAUGGAGGUGGGGAGAAUGUAAAAGAGGGGGAAAAUAAUUUGAAUCAUCUCCAUAGCAAGAAGAGUAGGUCACGAGCUGACGACUUCGGCCUUUCCAUUGCUAAAGUUGCUGUGGCUCAGAUAUGCGAGGCUGCAGGGUUCCAGGGCUUCCAGCGCACCGCUCUGGACACCCUGUCUGAUGUGGCUGUUCGGCACAUUUUAGAGAUCGGGAAGACUGGGAAUAUGUUUGCAAAUUUAGCGGGUAGGAGUCAGUCUAAUGUGUUUGAUAUAAUUCAAGGGCUGGAAGAUUUGGGUUCAAUACAGGGAUUUUCGGGUGCUUCCGAUGUUGAUCAUUGUCUUUUGGGUUCAGGGACUGUGCGGGAGAUGGUGCGGUAUGUUGGAGAGGCUGAGGAGAUCCCAUUUGCUUAUUCACUUCCUGGAUUUCCUGUUUUAAAAGAACGGGAGCCUGGCAGGACUUUUGAGCAGACUGGAGGGAGCCCACCUGCUGAGCAUAUACCACCUUGGUUACCUGUAUUUCCAGACCCUGAGACCUAUGUCAGCCUGCAUAAAAUAGAUGAGAAAAUGGCACAGAUUUGGGAGGACGAAGUCGGGGGGCCUGUUGAAAAGAGAAGAGAGUUGGAUAAAACUUUUGCAAAUUUGCAGCAGCGAAUGGCUUGUAACGGGACUCAGCCAUCCGUAGAGGUUGAUUUUGGGAAUGAAGCUAAAGAAAAGGGAUUGGUGGAAUGUAAUCCAUUUCUUACUCCACCUCUGCAGCAUGGGGAGAAGGAGGUGUCUUUAGUUCUUCCUCCUGCUAAACUCUCGGACGAAGUCUUCCUGCAGAGUGCUAACCUUGAAGUUCCGGUUAGUCACAUUUCUGCAAUGGAGACAUUUGCACCUGGCAUUGAGGCGGUUAAGAGUGGAACAUUUGAUUUCGAAGAUGGGAGGAAAAAGGUUCCUUUGAACGGGAGACCAAAUGUGCGAUUUAAGCUUGGAGGUGGCAAAAGGUGCUUGCGUGUGGCUAUAAGCUCUCAGAACCAGGGAAUUGAUAAAAAUUCCACUUGGUUUAGGAAUGACGAUGGGAUGGAUGACAAGAAAAGGCGGGUGGAACAAAUUCUGAAGCCGUCAUACGAAUCUGCAGGAACUGACUCACUUGUAAAUUAGGUGUGUUCAUAUUUGAACUUGUACACUUCUUCAGGGAACUGGCAAUACAUGCUGGUUCCAGGUUAGUUAGAAUGAAUGUAUUAGAGUUGUCUGUAUACAGGACUGUUAGAGACCGAUGUUCCCACAUAUAACAAGUUCUUGGGGCAAGUCAUUCUCGGUUGUCCUCGUGAACGUCUAUCGAUGAUAAUUCUUCGCAGUUGAUAUAAUGUUUCUACGUUUGCUGUGCUGUGCUUUUUUGUAUUUAUGACCUGAUAAUCACAAAGCUAAUUGUUACUGUUUAACUUUUGAAAUUUUUGUCCUUUUAUUCUGAUGAAGUUAUUGUUGCAAGGAUUUCCAUUUUCAUGGGUAUUUUAGGAUUUAAGUGUACUUGAAGAGAUCAUUUCCAUUUUCGUGGGUAUUGCUAGAACAAUGACUUGUCAAAUUGCUAUUGCCACCCCCAGUUUUUCAACAUUUUGUUGGCAUUUUUUGGUGUAUGUAUGUCUCUCUGCAUGUAUUGGAAUAGGUUCCAAUAAUGUACAUUGGCAAAAUCUUUUGCUAGAAGUCUUCCAGAACUAUUAAAAAUUAUAGGAUUUCAUUAACUGAUAAGGAGUUUCUGAUAAUCUCUUUUCCUGAAAAUUUUUGUUUUUCGGCCAUUUUUUCUUGAAACCAACAUGAUAACAGCUAUAACGAUUUUGCUUUCUGUCUUUACAUUGUCAAUGCUACAACUUGGAAAUCCCUUUGUUAGGAUGCUUGCUGAAACUUGAUUUCUCUGGUUAGUACUUGGCUAAAACUGAGCCAUGUUUAUUUGAAAUGUUCCCCACCCCUGCCCAACACCCCCACCCCAAAAAGGAAAAAAAAUUGUUGUGACAGGCGAAAUGGAGCUGCAAAUCCUGUAUUAUGUGAAAGGAUCUUAUAUCGGAUCCCUUGUUUUAGUACCUCUAGUGUCAGUGGCCUUGUGAAAAAAUGUUAGCAUAUACCUGGGAUGAUCUGACUAGAAUGCCCAUAUUUUCUAUUUGAUAGUGAGCAGGCAAGUGUGAGCAAUCCUGACUGGUUUUUUGUCAUACUUUCUGGGGGAAAAAAUGGACGAUCUAGAAGGGAAUAGGACUCAAAUGAGCUUUUAACUUUUUGUAUUGCCGUCCUUUCACGAACCAAAUGAUAUUCCCAGCUAUACACAAGAUUCAUCCACAAGUGCGUAUCUGGAACAUGAAAAGGGGAAAACUCCAUCUCAUGUACGAGGAUGUUUGUAGUUAGACGUAAGAUAGCAUCUUCUUUACAGGAUGGCUGGUGUCUCGUGAGCAAGACUCCUAGCUAUUUGGAACUGAAUUGUGAGAAGUUGCAAGCAAUGGUACCCAUUAAUGGUGGGGAAGAAAGAGAAUGUUAAGAAAAGAACACAAGAUUAACUACUCAUUAGUAAAUGGUUUUACAUUGCCUUCCAGUCCAAUCACACUGCCCCAAAGCCUGAGCAGUAAUUACCUCGGUUAUCAGGUCCUUAAAAAUGAGUCGCUCCAUGUCCAACACCACUGCUGGAAUCAAACUUGGGUAAUCUGCCCAGUCAUCACGUUGUUGCAUCAUAUCCAUAUAUAAGAUGCAGGUGGUUUCAUCAGCAUUAUCUAGGCUGCAGUCAGUUUUUGCUUGGAUAUGAUCCACCUCUGAAUAUAGCUCCCUCAGAAGCUCCUUCCCAGUCCCGUUUCUCUUUCUUUGCAUGAAGGAACUUUCUGGAGCUAAUUUACGUAUAAGAAUUUCAUUUACAAUAUCAAAUACCAACUUCCUAUGGAUUUUCUGAUCAAGCUUUAAAGGAGCAUUGCUCCGCCUGUGUUCCUCAUUUGCUGACAUGGUGUUUUCCUCAGUUUGUUCCAGUACAUGGAACAAAUCAGGAUUGAUCAAAUAGCCUGAUGAAUGGAGCUGAAUAUCUGUUGAUACUGUACAUAUGUCUUCAAGGAGACCCGACGCUAGUAAUAUCUUGGUAAUGUAUCUGUGAUCCGGGCUAGGUCUCUCGCUGAGAGAAUCGAAUUCAAAUGUGCUAGCUUCAUCAGGAACUGUGUUCAGCAAUCUGAGCUUAUGAAGUAAUUGCUUUAGGUUCUCUAGUUUCUUCUGAUUGAACCCAUCACCAAGAUAAUGCCAUUCUGCUUCAUCAGGAUCUGGAGUCCUGUAAUCUGUUGUUAUGGGGACAAUUAGGACGAGAAGAAUAGUGAAUUUACAGUCCUGAGAAAAGUAACUCUAAGAGUACACUGUCGUACUUAUGUGUGAUUUGGUUUAUUUUGUAGUCUCAUAGGCAAGGACAUAAUUUGCUAUGCGGGUGUUACAGGAAUUAAAACUGCUACCUUGAAAAACAGUUGAUAUCUUCUUCACAGGAGACAGUGAAUCUUCUCUACAGAAUGUUGCGUCCAGAACAGAGACUGGACUCGGUUGUUCAGUUGGGACUAUUAUGAGUUCAGCGAGUGGCAUGUCUUCACCUAAACUAGCUGCACCAUUCUGGACAUAUGAAAUAAAAAAUUGUCAAUCUUUUUAGUGAAUAAUUCUUGAAAAAUGCAUGUAUGUAGCAGAAUGCCCAUUAGCACUUACCCUUUCUUUUUGGUCUGCUUUCCGUCUGGUUCUGAUCUCAGUAGAAGAUCCUGUGCUUGUAAUUUCUGUGUCAGUUUGGGAGGCUAAGCUACUGGUACUUUCAGAUGGUAUAGAAGCUGUAUCACCUUGGUGACUGAAUUCUUUGUUGCCAGUAGUACAGCUUAUUCUGUCCUUACGGCGGUGCAAAGUUGAUUUUGGUCUGAGUUUACUACUUGAAUCUGGUUCGAUGAGUUUGCCUCUUCUUUUUUCCAAUUCAGGGGAUGGAGUUGUCAGAUGAGGUUGUGUUACAAUCCCAUGGUUCUUCUGUUGGAAUCUUGGACUCACAGAACCAGAACUCCUCCCAAAGGCAACGUAGUUUUCUACCUUUGCCAGCUGAGGUGCUCUUGUUGUUUGCACUACUUUUGGAAUCUUACUAUUGAUCUUCUUGUCUGUGCAAGAUUUACAAUGAUGUGGGUUUUGGGGGGUAGUUUUCUUUGGUGUUAGAUCUUUUGCUGCCAGUUUACAAACUGAAUCUUUUCUAGUGUAUAGAGUUUCACGAGUCCGGAGGUUUGGGAGAUGUGGCGCAUCAGCAGGGACCACUGACGUACCUGAAAUCCUGCCAUCGCCCAUAGUUCUGGCUGGUUUUGUUAUCAAAAUUGAAGAGUUGAACCUCUUUGGAGAACUAGUCACCUUCUUGGAAGCCAAAUGGUCAAUCUUGUUGCUUUGGCACUUAAAUGCUGUUGAAUCCAGAUCACUGCAGCAGCUGUAAUCUGAGCUGUAUCUGCUUGUUUCAGACCUCAAGUCAGCUUGCUCUCCUUCUUUGUUGUCUAACCUCAUCCUUGUGUUUUGCAUUGCUUCAAGUAUCUGCUUAAGAGCUCUGAGAUCCUUGCCUGAUUUCCUGAACUCAAGUUCACUUAUCCUUUUCUCAAUCUCACCGUAAACUGAAGAGGAUGUCCGUGGAGUGUCUCUGUAACUAUUCCAACUACCUGGACCUGUUCUUGGAGAGUCGUUAAUGGCAUUGGGCUGCCUCCAGGAUGCUGUUUCUAGAGGAAACCUUGGACUGGAAGUAGGUUGAAUUCCCAAGCUGCCAUUUUUGGAUACUGGUGAAGCGGGAUCCUUGUGCACCAUCUGUUGGAUUCGUAGUGGAUUUUUCUUGCAUUUGUCGGAUUCUUUUGAAGAUUUUGUGAAAAAAUCCUUAUCAUGGCACGAAUUAUCUUUUAUGGUUUCACCCUCAUUAUUGGAAACGGAAUCUGGAAAAGCUUCCAAACCCAUGAGCUUUGCAACAACACCAGAUGCUCGCUUAUUGCUUCCUGGUACUUGGUAGGCAUCGACUAUUUUGCUGGCAAUUACGUUUUCCCCUUUUCGCAGUUCCCUCAAGAGGAAAUUCAACCUUGGUUCAGAGGCAGAACUCAAGGAACUUUGCCUGCUGUCCAGUGACAACCUAGGUAGUUCUUUGAGCUUCGUGGCAGACUUUAAUCUAUUUCGUGUCUCUCUUUCAUCAUAGGAGAAUCGAGGCGGUUCCUUUCGCUCCUGGCGCAGAGAAGCAUCGCUCUCUUCCUUGCAAAUACACGGAGAAUCUUGAAGCUUAGCCAGACUGCGGCUGUCAAACUCUGCAACUCUGGGUUGUACAGUUUUGGGCUGCUGGAAAGGCCUUGGUGAGUCAAUAUGCUUCAAUGUGCGGCCUCUUCCAUCUUCUCUAGCUGCAGUUUUAAUUGAUAUUCGCCGAUGUUCUCUUUGCAUGGAGUCCUUUACAACAUCUCGGAUAUCAGGGGAUUGCUGGCUGAAAUGCAACGAGGAACUUUGUCGUUUCACAGGUAUUUCGUUUGUGCUUUCAAGAAGAUUAUUUUGGGUGAAAGAAGGUGGUCUGCACUGAAGUGUUCUGCUAUGAUCAAGCGAAGAAAAUGUAGAUGAACAAGAAGAGGAUGAAAAGGAGGUUCCAAGCGAUUCAGUGGAGACUCGUGGUUGGUCUUGCACAACCUCCAAUUUUGAUCCCUGCAAGUGCAACAUAUAGUCAGUGCCUUAUCCACCGUACCUGAACUCGACCUAUGCAACCGUAAGAGGAUUUAUGUGGAAUCUUACAGUUGUCUUCUCUGUUGCAUUCUUGGCCUCCCCGCCGCUGCUGUCACCUUGACAUGCAGAAAAACGUUGAAAUGUCAAGAAACUGAAGAAGUUGAUUAUUUCUGUUGGAUAGCGACCUCAGAUUAUGCUGAGUUAAGGCCGAAAUGGUUAUGGUGUAAGCAUCAGUAUAUCUUAAUUGACCUUGUAGACCACAAUCGUAGGCUAGAAGAAAUCUUCUUUCGUCACUACUAGAAUAGUAAAGCUGGAUGAAUUACCUGUUAACUGAGAGUUUUAUCUGUAGUGAAUUAGUUUUCUGCAUCUCCUUUUUUUUUUCACACGUUAUACUUAGUCUGGAUAUUAUUGUACUCGACAGUAGCAGUAUCAUGCUUCAUGGUUGAGGAAAUGUGAGGCAGCAUGGAGGGAUUGUGAUGCUUUCAAUUGCUUUUAAGAGUAACGAGGACUCAAAUGUGUACAAGUACGCUAAAUAUUUCCGUUUGUGCAGUUUCAGCAUAGAGAAAGGUACCUGGAAGCAGCCUUUUGUGAUGAUGGGCAGCGGAGCGUCGACCAGCGAGGAAGUAGUGGCGGUCAAAGAGCUGAAAGAUCCCAUUCAUGCAUCCAAUCUGCUUCUGCAGAUCUCUGUUUUCAUCCUUGGAACGAGGCAGAAUCUUUGCAGACAUCUCUGUUUCUUUCUUCAAGUCAGACUACGGAAAAUUUUGGGCUUUGCUGUGUUCAUUUACUUCUUUGUCUAGCUAUUUGAAUCGAUCCUUGACUAUCAAAUUUUAGAGGGGUUCCAUGCAAAGCAGAAUUGCUUCAGGCUUGAGAUUCUUUCCAGUGAAAACAACAUUCUAAAGAAGGAAUUCUCUUUUGUUUGUGUCAAGGGUAAAGUUAUACGAGGUUCUGCGGUUUGGAAUGUAAUAUGCGAGGCAAAGCAGCAGCAGCAGCAGAAGAAACAGAGAAGGGUUGAAGUGCAGGGGGUAACAGACAUGAGAGUUACAGUGCUUCAAAUCAUUAGAGCAAUGACUGGAGAGGCUGUACGACUCGAAUCUGGGUUCUGAAGCUAACAAAUAGUGCAGACAAUGUACGCUGUGAUUCCACUUCCGCCAGGAAUGAUAUAUAACAAAGAAGAAAAACACAAUGGACCCAAAAGUUAAUCAGUAUCCCUCCUGUUCCCCACCUGGCACCUGCCAAUUUUGUGCUUCAAGAAAAUGGAUACCAGAGCGAGUAAACUGUGAGGAAAAAGGGAAGGAUGCAGACCCAAGAAAUGUUCUUUUGGUUAUUCUCACAACUCACAGCAGCAAAAGGAAAUGAGAGUUCUGUCUAUCUUUGGCUUUAUCAGGGAAAAGAGUAAACACAGACGCAAGCGCUUGAAUCUUGAUGAUGGAUGCCAGAGUUUCAGGGAUCUGUGGUUUGCGAAAUAUAUAUAAAGGCUGCCCCUUGCAAUUAACUAGUCAUUGUGAAACCGGGAAAAGAGCAAACGAGGAAUAGAAUAUAUGUUAUUCAUGGUAGGAAGAAAAUCAAUGAUGAAACAGGCAGUCGAAAAUUUUUGCUCAUUUUCUUGAGGGGUAGAAUGUGUGGGACAGAUCCAGUGUGAAUGUUUGGGGUCAUAUCUGUAGUGGGGUCAUUUUCUUUGGCUUCCAUGUGGACAAGAUAAUGUGUUAGGACCUUUUAUUGCAGGGUUCAUGUGGAGUUUGUCAGAUUGCGUAAGGAAAGAAAAGUGGUUUCAAAUUCUUGCAGAGUCUCAGUGCAGCUUCGCUCACUCUUGUCCAAACUCCCAAGUCUCUUGCCUGGCAUCAUUAGGAGGAGAUCUUCGAGCCUCGACCAAUUCUCGAUCCUUUCUAAGUCAGUUUUCUCGAGUAGUUUCCACAACUGGCUUGCUCCAUUGUCCAUGAUACCAGUAGUUUCUUUUAGCAGGUAAAAAUGAUGUGAAAAACUCGAAUGAGCUUCUCGAGUUGGACUAGUUUUAGGAUUCUUUUGCCAGUAAUAUGGCAGAACCGGUUUUGCUUUGCAUUUAAACGAAAACAGUUAAAAUGGAAAAGAAAAAGGCACUGCUACCUUGACUCUUCAUCCCUACAAAGCCCAAGACAUACUUCACAGUCAAGUAUUAUCCGAGAACCACUACCCUAACUCUUUUUUUCUUGCCAUUUGAGAGGGAAAAUGCCAUUUUUCCGACCACUGUCAUGGGCUUUUCUUAAGGAAAGAGAAAAAGAUUAUACUUCCAUUUAUAGGAAUUUCUGUCUGUCGAUUUAUGUUCCAAAAGUAUUUUGCGUGUUUAACCUAUCAAAUAUCUCAAUCGUUGUGAACUACCAACGGGUUUGUUUGGAUAGUGGAUUAUUUCCUCAAAUAUAUUUGCUUACAUCACCGUUACAAUUUUCAAUACAGCUUUUUAUCUUUCCAAUUAUCUUUUUAUCUCACAUACAUCACAUCACAAAAAAUACUACAGUAAAAAUAUCUCAAAUAAUUUACAAUUUUAGUAACGGACGGCAAAAUAAACCACUUCUGUCCACCUUUCCUUUUUGGAAGACUAUCUUUUUUUUUCGCUUUCUUAAAGAACCAAAAAAAAAAAAUGCUUCUUAAAGCCUAGAAUUUAGGUGAGAUCAAAAUAAAAAUAAUAAUGGCCAAAUUAAAUUAGAGAGCAGGAUUUUGAGAGUCGUAUAUGUAUAUCCUCCGAACCUGAGCCCUGAGCCCUGAAGGAGGAACGAUGUGGUCCAUGUCCAACAGCAGCUGGCACACUUACUUGAGACUUGAGAGUAUGGAAGACUAUCUAUUUCCGCAGCUUUGAAAUUGACUUGCCUUUCCAGGGGUUAGGUGAUCUCCCGACAUUGCUAUUUUCCAUGUUGUCCGAAGACGUUUUAUUGUUUUUUCUACUUCCUGAAAUUUUACUUAAUCUUCGUACAAAGCCGAGUAGGGUUGCGAUGUUCCAAAAAACAACUCAAUACUCAACGGAAAUGUGUUAAAGGUCCUACUAAUUUCCAAGCCCUGGAACUCCUCAAAAAAAAAAAAAAAAAAACUAAUUUUUCUUGGGCUAGUAUAAUUUGAAGAUGCUGUUCUGAUGAUUUGUUCGAACCAGUAAUUGUCAAAAUUAAAAGGAACAAAAGAAAAAAGCAAAAGAGAGAGAGAGAGAGAGAGAGAGGGAUCUCGGUGUUGAGUUGUUGACAAUUCAAUUACGACUGCGGCGGCGAUGGGACUGUCGUCCAACGAAAUUUAACGCCAACUGUACGCAAGCCUGUCUUUGCAAGAUGAAAACAGGUCACAGCUUUCAUCCCUCGGACGGUACUUUAUGGAUGGAAAUAAUUAAAAGAUGUCUUCGAUUCAUUUUCAGCAAUCAAUAUCGCCUCUUGACAGUAAAAUCUUUGGAAAUGAUGAAAUACUAUUCAUUGAGUCUGUCUGAUGAGUUUUUUUUUUUUUUUUUUUUGUAAAUAAAAGUUUGAUUAUAUCCUGUUCAGAUCACCGUCGCGAGUUAGGACAUAUGAUAUGCUUUCGGAAUCAUAGAUCGCUUGCAGGAUUUUCUUUCAGCUCAACAGUGGGAUUCGAAUACGCAACUUUUUAUUGUUAGAAUGUGAACCGUCUUUAUUAAUUGAUUGAGCCAACUUAAUUCAACUCUUCCACAAAUUAUGAGACUCCAAAUACUUACAACUUCCCUUUUGUUUUAUGUAAACGUGGUUAUGAAGUGAAACUAGCUACAAGAGUUCAGAUGAAUGGACCCAAAAUCUAACCACUCCAGCGACAAGAUUGUCAUGGCUAAGUGAUCCAUCAUUUUUCAAGUACUAGUAUUUAAAGACUUCUGCUGUCAAGGUCAUUGAACGGAUGAUGACUAAACCGCAUCAUCUAGCCAAGGUUGCAAUAGCGCAAUUACGCAUGAUAGCUGUCGAAGGAAAUCGCUCAACUUCCUUAGAGAUUUGGCUUUUAAGGAUACUACUGGCGUUUUAAUUGGUUCGCUCUUUUCUUUUGUGACGCCAAUAACAGACACAGAUAUGACUUUUCCGGCCACCACAUUAAACACAUUGUCAAGAAUUGCCUGCCUCUCGCCGGCCACUACUUAAUGCUGCCUGCCCUGUUUGUCGCCAUUUUCCUGCAUGCCUUCGUCCCACUAUUUAGUACAGUACCUACUAUUGUCAUCACCAUUUCCUGUAUGCGCAUAAGUUUGUUCACCUGAAGACUCUUUUUUUUUUUGGGGGGGGGGGGGGGGGGGGGGGGGGGGGAGAGUGGGAUGUAGAUAUAGCAUGAGUUCUUGGAGCAGUUAAAGAAGAAUAAAAAUUUUUCGAAGCAAAUCCGACUUUGACCUCAAAAUAAAAGUAGAAAAAAAAAAAAAAGCUCCAACAGUCUGAUUUCAAUUAUGAGUACAUGUUUGAUGACAUGGCACUGAAGUAUGGAGAAGUCCAGAAAUAUACUCUAUAAUUUUGAGUGACGAAGAAAAACACGAAUUUGUUUGGACAGGGUAUUAUUUGGAAUAAUAACUGUAGUACUUUUUAUGAUGUGAUGUACGUGAGAUGAAAAGGUAGUUGAAAAUAGAAAAAAAAAUGAGUUGAAAAAUAUGUUUACGAUGCAAGCGAAAUAUUGAUAUUUAGGAUAAAUUUACUAUCCAAACAAAUUUGUAUUGAAUCGGAGCUUCAAUUAUUGGUCGAACGUAUGAUGGCGUUUGAAUGGAAUAAUAACCAAUGAUCAGUACUACUACAUGAUAUCUGUUAAACAGUAGUAGCUGUUAUCUAGUCAAAACACGGCAAUAUAUAUGUAUCAUAAAAACAAAAAAGAAACAUUUUGAUGCAUGAACGAUUCCGCGGGAUGCCAAAUGAAUUUGACAGAUUAACUGCAAAUGGAACAUGGGGUGCGCUGCUGCAUGUUCCGCUGCUUGGGUGGGAUUAUGGAUUUUUAUGCUUGUAUCUGCUCAGCUGCCUCGCUACACCAUCCAUGCAUUGCAACUUGAAUGUCUGUCCCACGCACCAUAUUGUGUCUUGAGAAUCAUUAAACAAGUCUUAUUGAUUUAAUUAGCUUAAUUCAUUGAAAACCAAACCUUAUCGCCUUAAUUUGCAAUUACCAUUGCAUUGAUUGACAAAUAAUAUAGUAUUUCUCUUUGAUUCGAGUUAUUAAUUAGUGCAAAACUUCUCCAUCUUCCUCCUCCUUUGCCCCUCUUUUUUCACGAGUUCUGUCGAUAGUAAUAAUAUACUUCUAGCUUGUGCGACUUGAUCAAUUUUCAUGUAUGUUAUCGCGAUAUUACAAUUCAGCAUUAUAAUUCAAUUAGUUGUCAAAUGGAUACGUCUUAAUCAAUUCAAUAACUUAAUUAAUACUUUCAGUACUUAAUCUCAAAUUUUCAGAUUUCAAUCUUUUCAAAUGGACCCUAAUUGAAGAUGAUUAAAAUAAUAAUAGAUUGACAGUGAUGCUUGAGAGAUAUGAAGAAGAAAGCUAGGAGGGAGAGGAGGUUGGAACUUGGAAGGAAGCUGCAAGAUCACGUGGAUAAAGUAAAGAGAGUGCAUGAGGGUUGCCUGAAUUCCAUGAGGCCCGAGAAUGGCCAACUAACCAAUCUUAAUCACCCCAAUACUAUGUUCCAAGAAGCUCUCUCUAGCCUCUGCCCCAUCGGUCCACCAUAAUUGCCACAUGAUGUUCCCACCACUCUUUCCCCACCAAAUCCAACAUGGGCUGCCUCCUCCUUCCCAACUUCUCCUCCUGCCUCCCCCCCACCCCAAGUCAAUUCAGUAAACACACGAUGCUACUAAUUGACAGCAGUGAUAAAUAUUUAGUCAAAAUUACCUCCGAAGUGAUGGCUAAAGAAAGUGAUUGAAAAGCAGAGUCUGGUCAGAUUCUUGCUUCGUCAUACAAGAAAUAAUUAAGCUAUUCACUCCUCUCUUCUGCUAUCAUGUCAAAGAAAAUGCAUCACAACAACAAUAAUGGAGCCGGUACAUGGCGUGACGAUGGUGUUCCUUGAAGUUUUAGCUAAACUGCUGCAUAAGUCGGGGUGAUUCCGUCUUAAUUCUUAUGACUUUCAAUCACAUGACAGCGAAGGAAGAGCAUGAAAGGUUCAAAGGUCUAAAGCUUCACCUACUAUUGGGAAUUCCUUAACUUAUGUCGGUGAAGAAGCUUAAUAAUUAAGUAUGGUACCCCUAGUCCGGAUUUGCUGUUAUGAGCAAAAAAGCAGGCAUAUGAUGAGUGAGUGGAGUCUAAUUUGUACCCAACAAGUACAAAAUCAAAAUUAAGCAGCAUCCUUAAUGGUACAGAUGAGUCUCAGGCACGCACAAACACCAGUGGUAGUAGUACUACUACACUACUAUUUUCGUUUGAAAAGUGCCACUAGACCAUGAUCACCUUUUGCUUCUUCUCUCACGAGUGACAUUGCCAAAAAUAACCAAAAAUAUAAAAAAUUGAUGCAGAAGAUAGAGAAAGAUUAAUUUAAAACGAGCUUUUAGCUGAGCUAAAAUCUUGUUUGACAUGUGAUGCGAAAUGCUCCUUUUUUUUUUUUAACACAGGAAGUAUCUCAGUUUUAUCAGAUUAAUCUCUUUGUACCUGUGCACCCUGUCCCUCAAGAAUAUACAAAUGACAGAGAGGUAACACGAGCACACGAUCUCGAAAUCUAAUUAGAGCACUCCAAAAUCGUCCGAGCCAACCCUAAGGUGACUAGAAAUACUAGUAUGGUAUAGAAUAAAAAAUAGAGCGGGCAAUCGGAAGGAAGUCCAUUGCAAAUUCAGACAAUCAAUCAAGUUGCCAGAUCAUCGGAAUCAGAAGUCACCCAGUGGGCACGUGCCAAGUUGGUUGGCGGGCGCACGCCACCUCGUCAUCAUCAAUUCCUAGGCGAUUCAUAUGAAUCGCAUAAUCAAUGGGCUCCUUCGGGAUCUCAACUUUCAUUAAUUACUGUCAUUAGCCAGCAGUAACGCCUUCUUGAACUCUGGAUGAUUAUCAGCACCUAAUUCUAGUUUACAACAGAAUGAGCAGGCAACUGAUUAUUAUUUUUUUCCUUUUGAUAAUAUGUAUAGGGUCUUGAUUCUUGAAUUACUUAUAAUACGGCCUGGUCUAACUCUAACCUUAGUUUAAUACAAGUAUUCUAGUACUACUAUUACUUACGCCUGCUCCCACAUGCAGCCCAUUGGCUACGAACACAUCCCAAAGCUGUUGCAAGAUCUCCCAGAUUCUCAACCCAAUGUGUGGCAUUUGGCAUAUGAGUAGAGUGGGUAUAUGCUUUGAUUGAUGGACAGUUACUUGCAUGGUUCUUUCUCUCUUUCUUUCUGAUUAGUGACAGGAGCAUGUGAAAUCUGAGAAUGCAGAGAGAGAGAGAGAGAGAGAGAGAUGGAGCGUCCAAUGGAUUUGGAGGAAUAUGAGGUCACUGUGAGGUUGGCGUCAGUACCUACUACCAGUCCUUUGCCCAACACCAACGCACACCAAGAUAGAUAAAGAAAUGAUUGCGAACGGACACAAUGAUGAUAUGGGAAUGACAAAGUCAUGGCCCAGUACACACAUACAACCCUGCUCUCUGACUUCUUUCCGUGCCCCCCUCUGAAUUACUAUUCGGUAAUCAGCUGAUAUUUGCAGUAAUUGUUGAGAAUGCAAAAACUUGUAAUUGGGAAUAGAAAUGUAGAUCGAGAUCGAGCCACCACGAAGAAAUCGAAUUAUACCAAUUGGCCAGAAAGGCCAAAUUAGCCAAAGUGGCCUCGUCGUCGUUCAUUCAAUUUGGCCGUGGUCUUAUCUCUCCAGCUGAAAUCAUCAACCUAUCCAAGUUAUGUUAUGGGAUAGGGUUGUUCACCAAUCAAGUCGCUCGCGAUCGAAUGAUCGAGGUCGAGUUAAUUAAGUCGAACACGAGUUCAAAAACAUUAAACUCAUUAACUCAUGAGCUCAAUUAUAUAUAUAUAUAUUUUUUAUUUUUUAUUUUAAUAAUAAAAUUACAUAUUAUAUAUAUCUAUAAUAUUUUAUUAUUUGUUAAAAAUUUAUUAUUUUAUUCAUUUUUAAAAAAUAAAAUAAUUAUAAUUUUUUUAUUUUUUAACCUCGAGCUCGAGUUUCAUAAAAUUAAUUGGAGGCUCGAUUCGAUUAGGCCAAAACUCGACUCGUUUGCACUCCUAUUCUGGAGACAUGUCUUCUAUAUUUAUUGUCAUCCCUGCCAAUAUAAUUAAUAUAACUGCAUUGCGUCUUUAUGAUUCUCAAUUAUAUUAAUUGGACUACUUUUAUCCGUUCGACAACUUCGCCUAACAUUACAAAUCAAGCACCGCUCAUAAUUGAAUUCCGACUAAAGGAAAAAAAACAAAAAGGGUCCUAAUAAUUGAGUAUCGCAGAGUCCACACACAAGUGCAACCAUGCCAUGCCUGUUGAUUUUUUAGGAAACGUAUUAGUAGAGCAUUUGAACACUCCUUGUACUUUAUAUAGGCUUUCAUUCCUAGUCUUUAUGGUAGGAGUAAUUGUUAUUCUUCUGGGGCCGCUCUACUACUGCCGCUACUGUGUACGGAGGAGAAAAUAGUGGGUUCAAGAGAAUACUUGAUUGUAUAGAAGCGACGAAUCAAUGUCUCUAUCGCUAUGUGAUUUCAAUCUUGGCCUGGAAUUCUGCUAUACCAUCACGGGCAUCCCAACAGCGCCUAGUUACAUGAAACCAUAAAACAAAUGGCAAAAAAAAAAAAGUUGCUUCCAUUAUAUUUUGAUUAAUGAAACAUCAAGGCACAAAAUUGUAGCAGUGUGGCACCAAAUGGACAUACUAGACAUGGAAAGAUACUUGGAAUUAAAAUGCUUUCACAAUACCCAAGUCAGACCGUGCACACACUUGCUGCAACAGAAAGCAAAUUUCAAUGGCUAACAACAUUGGUGCAUGAAGGUCAAGACUGGACACUUCUACUAGGACAUCCAGCAUUAAGAGCAAAAUCUUCAACCAUCACCAAAAUAUCAAAAUUAUGAAGCUGUAUGGCAAUAUCCAAAAAUUUCAAUACAACAAUAGAAGUUACAACACCAAUGGCUAAAUACCAAGAUCCACUACUUUCACUGCUACGCCUAAUUCUUGGGUAUGACCACCCAUAAGCAAAAACGUUCAGGUGGCGAGCUGGUAAAAAUUUUUGUUGACUAUGGAGCUCAAUUAAACUCUAUUGUGUGUUAUUGACAAAAAAAAAAAAAAAAAAAAAAUCUUCACCUUAUGCAAGUUUAUACCAUGGUUUCUCCCCUUAAAACAGAAAUCAAAUUAAUUGCCAAAACUCACUUGAGCAACACCAAAGGGCAGCUUCAUACGUAAGAAAAUGACAAAGGAUCAGUAUCUCUGAUAGAUUGCCCAGACAGCCUGUGGAGCACUCUGGAGUAGAAGCCCCAUAAGGAGCUAGUUUCAUCAAUAGCUUUUUGACCAAAUGGAUGCUGCUCAAUGUGCUUCGGUAUAUGUUCAGUUAGUGCCAAGCCUUCCAAAUAAACUCGAAGAUCACCUCCAGGUCCUGCAUUGUGUUGCAUAUUUCUCUAGUAAAUUUGAUAAGAAUAAAUAGGAUGGGGAGAAAAACCACAAAAAAGGCUAUAUCCAGAGACGAUUCAACAAACAUAGGGAAGAAAAACACAGAAACUUGGUGAAAGGUACAUACCUAGAGAAUUAUCACUCGUGUCUCUGUAGCAGUAAGAAUGAGGAAAUAUCCCAGUAUGAAUCUACCCAACAUGGUUAUAAAAAUUUAGUGCAAAACAAAGAAACUACAAAACUUGCAAUAACAUCAAAAUGGCAUCAGUGUCUCACAGGAUUGAGCAAGGCCUUGUAUGGAGAAUCAUCCACCAGUAAAGUAUUUGAUUCAUCAUAAUCUCCUUUCUCCCAAGGAAGAUCAGGGUAAUGUUUUUCCCAUAGCUUUCUCAACUCUUUGCAAACCAAUGGUUUAUGCCUAUUUUCUAGUGUUCUGAACCCUGUAUCAGUGCACUGGUACAUAUCCUGCAAUCACAUGAAAUCCCAGUUAAUGAGGUUCAAAAAGAAACCGCAAUCAAGGGUUCAACAGCAGCAUGAAAACAGAAUCAGCUUGUUGAAAGCUGUGAAAUCAGUAUACUGAUACGAAAUGCAAUACUUUCUCUUACAGGUAAACGCGAAUGCAUGUAUUUUCAUAGAAGUGUAGGCUAAGUUUCAAUUUUUUCAAUUCCAAUGAGAUCAGUGUUAUGCUGAGAUAAACUGAGUAAAUAUCCACAAAAAGCUUCUCUUUAAACUCUAUCAGCAAUAUCUAGGAAUCAUCACAAGACUGCACAAAUUAGAAGUAAAUAAAAGAUUAAAGUAAAACUAAAUGAGAUCACGAAAGUGGGCAACCUGUUAUCAUGACCGACUUUUAUCAUAUGUACCCUUGUAUAGCAGCUAGAUAAUGACUGACACAGUUGCUAACAAGCAGAACUACAAGUAAAAAUGAGGAAAGCUUAAGCAAGGCAUAACAGCAGAUUCUUGGGCCCAACUACAGACAGAAAAAAAGAGGCAAGGCUAUCACUUCUUAUUUAUUUUUUUGGAUUCUUGUUAUUUCCUUCUUAUUUCUUUAACUCAUUCUUUCUAGGUUGUUACACAAACUGUUCGUUUAUAUAACUUUCACUCUCCUCUACAGAUUUUUUUUCUUAAAAUUGACAAGCCGUGCGUGGGCUGAAAUUAAAACUUUGGCCUCAAGGAUCAAAACACCUCCCUUUACCAUAAACACAUCACAUUUCUUUAAAGUUAGACAUUUUUUGGGGUGAAACGAAACAGGCUGCAUUUAAAAAGGGCAAGGGCUCUUACCCAACAAAAUAGCAACUUAUGCUUCAGAUCUCCCAACAAGUAGUCAACCACUCUAUCAAUGAUCCUCCUGCAUAUUAUCCAUAAGUUAGUGCUCAGAAAAUAACCGGAAAAAGAUGCAUGUGGGAAGGGGGAGAAAACUUACUUAGACCUUGAGGACCAAAUUCCAACAUCAAAUCUCUCACAGCAAAACUUCAGAAAAUCAUAAUAAAAAGGUCUCUUAAAAACUGCAGUAGCAAAAGAGAGAGCUCGUCAGAUUUCAACCAAUCUUCUGCUCCUCUAUUUGGCUAAGGGAUGCUUUUUCUCGGCAGCAAAAAUAAUUCGUAAUUCUCACUUGCUCGUCCUGAGAUGUGUGUGUCUGCUUUACAGUCCAGUGGCGGAGGCAUGACUAUAUCUGCAAGUAGCCCAUUUAUAUCAAGAAUGAGGAGUUUUCUUCUUGAACAUACUGGUGAUCUUGCUGCAAUGUGGCGUGGAACAACCAGUACAUUGAGUCCUCCAUUGGCAACAUUGGAGAGAUAUUCUGCAUUGUUCGCACACUGUAAGGGAGGUAUUACUGAUUCUUUUGUCAUAGAAAUCCCAGGCCCUUGAUCUGUAGUCAUUAUUCGGUUUAUUGUACCAUUGGUUGGUUGAUUACAUGCAUCAGCCAAACUCAGAUUUGAUAAGAUAUCUGCGUGAUCCAUGCCUUGGGAUCCAUAAACACCAUCAACCUUUUUUGUCGCCUUCUGUUUCUUCUUUUUCUUUCUCAUGCACACAGACUUCUCCAAAGGAUCUGUGGUCGACACACUAUCUGGCUUUUGGGGUUCCUGAGUCAGUUUGGGAGUUGAAUCCACAUCCAAAUUGGCAUCUGGCUUACUACCCUCAGGUUUUGUGCUAAUGUGUCCAUCCACAUUCUGAUCCACUUGACCCGCGUUUUGUACUACUUCAAUAUCAGUAGCCUGUCUCUUCCCCCGUUUUCUCCUCCUCCUCCUCCUCUCCUUUUUGGAUGCUAGGUUGACUUCAGCAAGAGUUACACCUGAGCUUGUGUCCAUCGAGGCUGGCAUGAUCGUUGUGUCCACACAAUACAACACCUUUAAGAUUGUUUGUAGCCUCUGAUUCCCAAACAAAAGCCCGACUACCAAUUUAUCUGGUCGUGUGAUAUGGUAUGUUUACACAUCACAUCCACUUCCUGUUUUGCGCUGAAAAAGCACAAUAAUUUGAAUUCAAAAUCAAUCUAAAAUGAAAGAUAUGUGAUGAUUAUGUAUUCCAACAAGCUAAAGUACUCUCAAGGAUGAGACAAGGAACGAUAAUCAGAAGCAUAAAGAAAUAGAAACCAACUCUAUAACCACACUAGACAAUAUUGAAUAAGAAAGACCUCAAUAUCAGUAUUAAGACCUAGGCAGGAGCUGAAUUUUUGCAUGAAUCUUUCCCAAAAAAUUCCAGUUAGAUCUGGUGACAUGAUGUCCUUAAUAUUAACGUCGAAGACGACGCUAUCGAUAUCAAAUACACUAUUGAAUUGACAUAUUUUGGGCUAAAUAUAGACUACUCAAGGUUGACAGCGUCUAAAUUCACUGACGCAUGGAACACAACAAUUAGUAGCAGUAACGAAGAACUUGAUUUCACGUACUGAAUAAGAAUUUCAUCACAGGACAUAUUCACGUGAUGCAAUAAACCAGGAUUACGUAGUCAACAACAAAAUUACCAACACCCAGCUUUGACGAUUCUUUUCCAAUUGUAAAUCAGGCAAAUUUUAUAUAACGGUUGCAAAUUACAGAUAUAACAGGGGAUUCUAUAAUCUACACACACACACACACACGCAUGUCAAUUUAUAUACACGUUCGUAUGCAUACUUCAUUAUAGACGUAAACUUUGCACGUUGUAGCAGGUUUUGAGAAACGACCAAGAUGAAGCUCGGCUUUUUUAUCCGACUUCAGCCUGGAGAGAUUGUGUUAGGAAAUUACAGCAAAUCCAAAGUCUUUAGCAUCUGCUAUUACGAUUUACGAGUAUACAACAUAAGCCGCCGGAGUAAAUAGGAAGAAAGAGAAAGAAGAAGAGAUCGAUAUUGGUUUGAAACGGACCUGUGGGCUGGGUGCCCGGAAAAGUUGGGCGUCGGCGGCUUGGACUGUAGGGAUUCAGUUAUUCAACAAGAAGAUGGAGAAGCGCGUCGCAGGUUAGUACAACGUGUUUCGUACUCAAAAAUUUUAGAUUCCCUGGGUUGAGUGGGGUGGUUACGAAGGACAAAAAGGAAAAGAAGUUGGACUUGGACUAGAAGAGAUCAUGAGAAUGAACUGGGGAGGCAGUUAAGUAUAUUCCCAAUAGAAUAUGGACUGUCAGGGCCCCUAAGGUAAUAUGCCUAUUGUAUGCAGUACACAACACAAACAAACAAGUUUUACUUUUAUCAGAAAACAAACCAAACCAAACCGAAAAAAAAAAAAAGAAAAAAAAGAAAAGAUAGAUAGAAACAUUUUUUUCAUUGUUUCUACUUUACUCUUUUAUACUGUACUUCUAUAGUGUUUGGAUUGCAUUUUCUAAGAUUUUUUUUUGUAGAAAAAUUACUGUAACGAUUUGAUGUACGUGAGAAAAAAAAUGUAAUAGGGAAAUAUGAUCACGGAAAACGACGCAAUUUUUCCGCGAAAAAUGGCUUCACAACAACAACUUAUUUUUUACAUUAUCUAUUCUUUCUUUUUUUAAAAAAAAAAUUCUAGUGGUUGUACAAACUAAAUUUCAACCUAGUAAAAACUUAUUUGACUCAACGACUUGGGGAAAAAGACAAAUUGAUUUGAAGAAACAAUGAGACACGACCUAAUUAGGCUCAAUCUAAAAUUUGGAAGAGAGUUGAUGUAGGCCCAUUUCCCAAACAAGGCCGUGUUCUAAUUAGGCUCAAGCUUAAAUUUGACUUGAACAAGGCCACAUUAAGUUCUGGAAAAGGGUGCAGCCCAUAGCUUAUUGAAACCUGAUUCAAACAAACAUUCUCAAUUUUGUGGCGUAGAGACAUGUCAUGUUGAGAAACUGCAGAGUAAUAAUAAGGUGGAGCUUUGCAGAAGAAGUGCACGUGUUGAUCGUAAGGGUAAGCAAGAAGAGAAAAGAAAGAGAGGCUAAGCAAAGUUGCACGAGGAGUCCACUACGGGGAUGAACGUGAGAGAAUAAUGAACGGUGGCUGAUGCAUCUCUCUGUUUUGCUGAGUGGUCCACUCCUCCAGGAGGCGGAAGAGGGGAAAUCACCAAAAAUGGCGGUGGUCCAGUCCAUUCCUUUCCUCCCACCACCAUCUACCUGGAUCAUGCACCAGUUGAUCCUUUCAAAAAAAUGGGGAAAGGAAAAAGGAGACGAGAGGCUAGGGUUGGACCUCUGAUCAAAGAGAGAAAAGUGAUAUUAAAAAAAAAAAAAAAAAAAAAGGUCGACGACGUCGGUGCACACUGCACUUAGCUCACUGAUUAGCUGCUACCCCCAAAUAAAAUCAUGUUUGUUUGGGAAUCGUCUGAUUAAUCACUGAUUAGCAACAUAUAUAUCUCCAAUCACAACCGGCCGCGCCUGAGAAUUGCGAAGGUGCCACGUUUUCCCCUUGAAAAAGAGAAAAAAGUUUUCCUAGAUCAAGUGCAGGAAUCCAAGCACGGCCGUCGUGGAUGCACAUGAUUGAUGGCCUUUCUUAGCAGCAGUAAUUUAGUACUAAUAUCAAGUGAUGCGAGCAUAAUACUAAUAAAAGCCAUUGGGUGGACGCCCCGCCGCCCCCGCCCCAUUGCUGAGGAUCUCUGUCGGCCAUCCGGACGGAUUGAUUUAGAAAGAUUUGCUGCUAAACUAACCGAGAGCGGCGGAGUUCAAUUCGUGUACGGAGUUGCAACAUGUGGCACGGGCUCAAAACUCAAAAGUAGAGUAGCUCAUGCCAAUUGCCAAGCCAUCCUCUCGUAUCGUAUCAGCCUUUAAAGUAGGAAACUAAAAACCGCUACUGUCCACCUUCCCUCAAGUAUGCGUGUGGCAUGUGGCUUAAUUGGCUAGACGAGAAAAGUGUCGCCAGACUAGUCCAAUUUAUUGGAAGCAAAGAAACAUGGCCUCCAAAUUCAGGAAGCUUUAGCACUUUUCUAUACGGUGCCUCCCUCUCUAUACACUCCACCGUAUGGGACCAUGCCUGACGCGAUGUGCAUCCUGCGGGCCGCCUUCGCUUACCCGCUCCGAGGAAUAUUGUGCUUCCCAUCUCAAAGAGGGACCCAAAAAAAAUGAAAAAGACGGGGAGGCCGGGGUUGGUGGCGGCGGCACAUUGAUUGGGUCGACUUGCUUGUUUAUUGGCCAUCCCAAAGUUACCACUUCCUCUGGGCUCAGAAAAAAAAAAGUUGCCGCUUCCUCUUUGUGGGCUACGCUAGUAUGUGUUCCUCUUAUGAAAAAUGGCUUUGAUAAUUUGUUACGGUUUUGACAUACAUCAAGGUGGUAUGUGUUCUAAACAUUUUAAAAAAAGGUAGUAUGUGUUCUCCUAUUCAAUAUCCAUUAAAAGUUAAUGAAUCAUGAAAAAUACGUGUCACUCACAUUGAGUGCAACAAAAUUUCUAAAUCCUUGUAUUUUACUUCUUUUCUUCCGUCCCAUUCUGAUAGUCUUAUUUUUUUUCUCACAUAAUUUAACGUCAUAGUAUAAUAUCCAAAAAGAAUUACAGAAUCUCUCGAGAUCAUAAAAUUGAGGUGCAUGCAUGGACCACCGUGCUGGUAUUCUGUACCAGUACCUCAUGUCCUGGGCCUGUGUUUGUUUGAUCCCAUUUCCCAACUCCUACCUCAUACUUGAUGCUUCAUCUUAUGGGACCCCACAACUUUUGGAACAAAAAAAUUAACAAAAGUUAAAUUGAACAAUUUAAGGAAAAAGAUUAAGUACACCAUAGACGUACUCGGUACUUGUACUUGUACGGUUGGUACUGAACGAGGACCAACAGGAAAAUCUUUUUUUUUUUUCGGAGACGACAACAGUUAUAUAAUCCAAUUUAUUUUACACUAUUAAGGGGGAGGGAGCGGAUCUAAAGAAAUCCAUAAAUUAUGCGUGUUUGUCCAUAAAUUAUACUCCUUAAAAUUUAUUAAUUGUUAAUUGAUUUAUAGUACUUUGUCAUUCAUUGGAUAUGUAGCACAAAGGGCAAAUCUCGUACAAAAUUCUAAUUUCAGUUCCUAAAAUAAUAUUUUAAUCAUUUGGACUAAAUUUGCAAAGGAUUAGUAACCUCAGGGGAGGUCAGUGUAAUUUUUCAAACCACAAGGGGAGGUCAGUGCAAAUGUCAGAAACCUCAGGGGAGGUUUCUGCAAUUAUCCCUUAUCUUUAUGCCGGUUGACCUGCAAAUCUCACACAAGUAAUUCAAAAGAGAAAUAAUCUCCUUCCUCCCGCCAACCACAAACCACCAGAAUUAUGACAUUAUUGUUAUCGGACUAUCCUCCUGCUACAACAAAAGUAAAUUAGAAAAGCGCACCAAUUAAUUAUGUUAUCUUAACCAACAACAACAUUCCAUUGCAUUUGCAUUCAAGUUUCGCCAACUUAUUUUCAAUUUUCCGAAGAUCGUACGGAACAGGAAUACCAUACUGUCAAUUCAAUAUAUAUAUAUAUGUAAAUAUUAUCUGCACUCUUAUUAUUUAUUUUAUCAUAUAAUCUAAUAAAUAAAAAUUAUAUCAUUAAAAUGAUAAUACGAGUGUGAUUAACGAAAAUGAGAUUGCAAAUAAUAUUUUUCAAAAUAUAUAAAUUAAUUGUAAAAGUAAGUAAACUGGAUUGAUGGUGCAGUACUAUCAACUAUGGUUAUACUUGUAGCUAAUGCCAUUUUAGAUAUUGCCGAAAGUUUCCGUUACCAAACCAAAUCACUCCACCCCCCCCCCCCCAGCUCCCAACUCUUCGGACGUGGUCAAUAUCGGUUCCUUCUACUUCAACGUCAAAUUAUCCUUUUGACCAACUCCUCCCUCCCUAGUCCCUUUCUUUUCCAAAACUUUUUUAUUCUAAUGGUAUGUUUUUGGUAAGAUGUAAAAUAUUUUAUGUUGAAAUUAUUUUAUAGGAAAAGAUUUGCAUUUACGGUGUUUGGUUGCAAUUUGAAGCUUUGCUUCUAUCAUUAAAAUGUCAAUGACCAAUCGCCGCCACCACUGUUGUUCCCUGCCACCACCGUGUUGGAGAAGGAAAAAUCAAGUUGUUAAAAAGAAGAAAAUUCCAUUUACAUCGAAAGUUUUUCGAUAAUGAAAACAUUGAUUAGUUUGUAACGAGUGAAGAUUCAGCAAAUUACCUGACACGCUUUUGGGGUCUUUCGCGUCGUCAUCUGGAUUGAAUGUUCUUCUAUCAACAAAUGACAAGAGUUUCAACUUUAUCAACGGAUGCAUUGUUUUGGAAAACAACUUCAAAUCCUCAUUUAAGGAUGCUGAUUUACAUCGAAAUGAGGAAAAUAAUUUCUUGCGUAAAAUAUUUUCACCAGUUCUAAGACAACCAAACACCAGAAAUUGUGAAAAAAUAUUUUUCGGAAAAAUAUUUCCGGUCCAAACAAACACACCCUAGGCCUAGAAUCUUUUCAAAGAUAGAAAAUUCUAAAGCCAUUACAAUUCAACAUUCAACAACCACGGUGCAUCAGGAGUAUAUUUAUUGACCGGAAUAGGAAAGAACUUGUUUAGCAGAUACAAAAUGACCAACAUCACGUCCCAAUCCCAAAUACUAAUAGCUUUUGCCCACCUCACACCUUUUUUUCAUUUUUUUAAUAGAAGUAAUGUGAGAAUUUCAUAAACCCCACUCGCCCCGCUCCUCCACUUUCCCUACUGCUACUGCCUAGCGACUCCUUAUCCCCCGCCCCCGCCACCGUCCAGCAGAAUCACAUUUAUUCAUAACCUUCCCGAUUAAUGAUACUUACUUAUAUCUAUAUCUAUACCUGUAUCAUCUCAAGUGAACAUUUCCCAUCACAGAAGUACUACUAUUAUUCAAAAAAAGGGGAAAAAAAUUUUAUUUGCUGCAUGUGAUCAAUUGCUGAAAGAGCUGCUAAUGGGGUUGUGUUUUUCGCGGAGGGCGACGGUGAGGAAGAAGCAGUCGAGACGGCUGACUAACCAGUCGUCGUCAUCGGCUGGAAAUGGAGGGAGUAAUAGGUGGUCCAGGAUUCGGUCCACUAAGAAAGAGGAACCCAUCAUCCACGAGCGAGCUUUGGCUGCCGCGAUCCUCUUGCAACAGGAGUUGCAGAACUCCGGCGCCGCCGCCGCCGCGCCUUUUGAUCGGUCAACUUCUUUGAGGUAUCCCAACGGAGGAAGCGCUAAAAGGAAUCAGACCUUGCCUAGGAGUUCCAGCUCCAGAGCCCGCUCCCUUACUGAUCCUUUACUGCACCCUCAACAGCUGCUCAAUCAGGUACUCCUCAUAAUAAAUCAUCAUACAUGAAAUCCUCCCUCCCCCCCCCCCUCUUCUUUUUUCCUUCAUAGUAAUUUCUUCAUCAUGAACUUCCAAUAUUGUUUCUAACUUUCCCAAUUGGAAGGUAACUGAUUGAGGUGAUCCUUAAAUUAGUCGAGGACUUUGUUAUUUUGGCCGUUUCUUUUCAUCACCUUUCAUAUUCUUCCUCUUCUUCUUUGCAAACAAAUUACAAUCGCAUUCGAGAUAUGAGGCUCGUAUGACUAUUGUAUUCGUAUUAAUGUUCCAUUUGCAAUCCUGGAAUAACACUUUAGGACCUGACCUGAUUAAAAUCAGCGAUCAAAUUCAGGCCAACGACUAAAGCUUUGGUCUUAUAUUUGCAUCAAUGGAAAAAAAAAAGGUUUAUGAUCAUACACAUACGAAAAUUACACAGCGGCUGGUAGUGGUGGUUGCCUGGAAUAUUUGACAUUUCUUUUUUUUUUUUUUUCAAUCACAUACUUGUAGAAUUUUGUUAGUAUUUAAAAAUUUUAUAUAUUCGUUCAUGCUAAAAUUUUUGGCAUGUGGACAAAAAUGUCUUUUUCAUUGUCCUGUCUCCCCCAGGUACUUCUAUAUGUUGCUUCUUAUGGGCAAAUGUAAAAGACUAACAGUUUUGUAGUAUAUCCUUGCAUUGUAAAGAUGCCUGAUUAUGAUUCUAGAACUACAAGCAUAGAUGGGCACAUAGAAGAUAUUCCUAUUAACAAGCUGGAGUUAUUUACUGCACUUUUUUUUUGUGCAUAUUUAACUACCAAGGUAAGACAAUUGUUCCUGGAGUAAAUACUUUGUUGAGGUACUUUUCAUGGUAGCCAAAAGUGUAUCCGGUGAAAGUAUAUUAUGGCCUGAAAAAUUGAGAACAGUUUCAAAGUAUAAUUUUGCACCCUAACAAGCUAUCUCCUAAAGGUUUUCUAUUUGUCGACUAGAAUUUCCCUCAAAGGAUGGUUUUAUGGUGCUUUAUCCUUGACUUCUUUCCCAGUUGUUCAAAUUUGGCAUCUAUGGAAUUGGAAAACAAACUUUUGAUAUCCAAAACUACUGCCUAUGCACGAGGAUGUUAAUUCAGGAUUCAAGAAUUUUUUUUUUCAUUUUUUAAUUUUUUUUUUCUGGUUUCAGUUUGUAAUCUAUGUUGGGGUAAUGUUGCACAGCAUACUUCUUAAUCCUUUUUUAUUUCUUAUUUUUUUAAACUCGUAUAAAAGCUAGAUAUGCUGAUGGCUGGAAAAGAUCCGCAUUCCCCCCCCCCCCGGGGCGGAUUCUGUAUGCACUCUCGGUCAAUGCUUAUGUUUAUUCUAUUGCAUCAUUCUUAACUUGUUUUCCCUUUGCCAGGAUGUAAAGCUUGAGGGUCUUGAGACAAACCAUUUUGUCCUUGUUCAUGGUGGUGGUUUUGGGGCAUGGUGUUGGUACAAAAGCAUAGCUCUUUUAGAAGAAGCUGGAUUUAAAGUUACUGCAAUAGAUUUGACUGGUUCGGGAGUUCAUUCAUUUGACACAAAUUGUAUCACAAGUCUUUCACAGUACGUGAAGCCACUAUGUGACUUCCUUGAAAAGCUUGCAGAUGGGGAGAAGGUCAUUUUUCAGUUCCAUCAUUUGAUCUUUCCUGUCAAGCUCAACUUUUGUUUGGCUGCUUUUUGUAAUUUUUUUUAUACUAGAGCUACAAUGAUUCUUUAAUAGAAAAGAAGAGUGAAUGCCUGAAUCCCUCUGUCCAGUGCUCACUAGCUAUUGUGGGUUAGCUUGACACUUGAGCUUCAGCCCUAGUUUUGUGUUAUACCUACACAAUUCAUCUGCCAUAUUGACUGCUAACUUCCUCUGCAGAAUUGUUUGAACUUGUAAUGGAGUGAACUAUAUUCAAGUGCCAUGCUAAUGUUGUCUGAUGCAACAAAGCAUAAUAACAAACUUGAAAAGUUAGUCUUUUUUUACACAUUUGACCCCACGUGCAGGUAAUUUUGGUAGCACAUGAUUUUGGCGGUGCGUGUUUAUCAUAUUCUAUGGAGCUAUACCCCUCUAAAGUUUCAAAAGCUGUUUUUAUAGCUGCAGCAAUGUUGACUAGCGGCCAAAGUACCCUUGACAUGUUCUCGCAGAAGGUUUGUUCUUCCUCCCACCAUACAUGGAUUCUAUUUUUAAUUUUUUUUCAGGAACUCUUAGCUCAGUUAAUUAUUGCAGUACUGUAUGAAGUGUGGAUGUGGUUGUCAUAGAAACCCCCCCCCCCCUUGGGGGCUCACACACAGACACUGACAGCACAAUUUCUGAAGAAUGAUUUUCAUUCUAUCACCAUCUAGUAGUCUUAAUUGUGGAUUUUAUGCACUGUGUAUCUUAGAUAUCUACUUGACAUGCUGAAUUUGCUCUUAAUCUGCCCCCCCUUUUUUUUGGGGGGGGUGGAGGAGCGGUGUGUGGUGGUGUGGGGGGGGUAUAUUCUCACAGGCAAACUAUGGGAAAAAAGGGGACCAUUGAUAUUUGUGAGGGAAAAUGCAAUACGAUUUUCAACUACAGAGAUGGGUUGUUGCUUUUAAACAAACAAAUCCAAGUGGAAAGAUGUAUGGCACUUUUGAGAAUUAGGCAUUUCUAGAGCCAUACUGUGCUUAUGCUUCUCAGUAGCAAGUUGCAUUAUCUAUAAGCAGCUCUUGGAUUCUGGAACAGACGUGCAUUAGCAGCUAUCAAUGUCCUCAGAUAUGAGUUUAUGUGGCUAUCUUGGAUGUAAUCCUUAUAAUUAGCUUAAAAAACUCAUGCUGCAGAGGCUCUACUGGAAAUAAUGAACUCUUGAAUUAAAAAUAAGCUGUCGUUCUUAAAAUUUCUCAUAUUAUGUAUUUCAGUGCUGGUGUUCACUCAACUGUGUGCUUACUGAUUACAACGUUUCUGGGGUGCUACUGAAUUUCUGUAACUUUUGCAGACAGAUUCAAAUGAUCUAAUGCGACAGGCACAAAUAUUUCUCUAUGCCAAUGGGAAUGGUCACCCUCCAACCGCUAUUGAUCUGGAUAAGUCUCUCUUAAGGGAUUUAUUGUUCAACCAGAGUCCAUCUAAGGUAGUGUGCUCUAUACAUGGUACAGAUUUUCUUGUAAUAGAUGGCCCUGAAGGGGGAUGAGUCCUGAUAUUCAGGAAUGUUAUUUACAAUUUGCACAAAAUUGAAAUUUUUGAAUGGGAAUCUGUGGCAAUUCGCUUCUAGUAGCUUUUGACGUAGUGGGUUAAAUCAUUGUCCAGCUUACCAUGCCAAUUGGAUGGUUAGAUCAUGCUUAGGAUGACGGAUGCUCGAGUGUGCUUGCCUAGUUUAACUUUAUGGCUGUAUAAGGGAUCGUCAUGUUUCCAAUUUGCUUGGUUACUCUUGCAUGCCUCUUGCUUUAUAUCUUUGCUAAGAUGGCCGUGUUUAUGCAUGUAUGCUCUUGCUCAUGCUCGUUCUGUGGUUCUGUUCAUUUGCCAGGAUGUUGCUUUAGCAUCUGUCUCCAUGAGGCCGAUCCCCUUCUUGCCAGUUUUGGAGAAGCUGUGUCUUUCUGACGCCAAGUAUGGUACUGUUAGGCGGUUUUAUAUUGAAACUCCAGAUGACAAUGCCAUACCCAUCUCUGUGCAGGAGAGUAUGGUAAGCAAAAGUCCCCCAGAGAAGGUUUUUCGUCUAAAAGGUGCUGACCACUCACCUUUCUUCUCGAAGCCUCAAGCCCUACACAAGCUGUUGGUAGAGAUUUCAAAGAUCCCAUGAGCAUUUUUCUUUGCAUUCCCUAGAGUCCAACUGACAUGACCUGAGAAUUGGCACACCUUAUGAAAUUUGCCUCCAGACUUUCAGACAGACUACAAGCUGCACCAGACACUCUGUUCCGGAGUGAGAUAGUAAUAAAACGGUCAAUUUAUCUGUCUGUUUCUCUAAGCAAGUGUGAAGGCAAUGAAUAAAUUAUGAGAUGGGUGGCAUUUAAAAUUAUGCUGUGUGGAAUGGAAUCACUGGAUGUAGAGAGAGAGCGAGGGCUCUAGAUUUUUAUGGAGGUAAGGUGGGGAGCGGAGAAGAGGAGGCCACUACUUGUGGUUGAACAUCUUCGCCUGCAAUUGGGUUUCUAUUUCUUCCGCUUGCAAUGUCAAUCCGCUGCGGGGUUUGGCGAACUGCUUUUAAGUGCUGAUCUGUUUCAAGAAUCGAAAGGGAGUGAAACGAAAAAGGAGCAUUUGCAAUUUUUGGACGCAAUCUGAUUUGCCUUGGAACAAAUUAUUUCUGUGUCACUAAAACAAAAAAAAAAAAAUAACUUCUUCGAUAUAUUCACACACGAGUCAUGAUAAGUUUUCCAAAACCAAUUUGAAUAUCUGAACUGGUUUAGCUUUCGGUGCACACGGCGUGCUUUUUGCAUGCCCAUCUUCCAUUACCAAAAUAAUGGAGCAACGCAAGUGACAAAAUAAAUGAGUCUUAAAUGGGUCGCAUGUGAUAGCCAUCCAUAAAUAUAUGAGGUCAGGCAGACCUGGUAAAUUGGUAAUUUACAUGAGCUGUUAACUGGUAAUUUUUUUCCAUUACUUGUUUGGAUUGCUGUUUUUCGUUGAAAAAUUAUUUCGUUUUUCGUAAUCAUAUUUUUCUAUUAUUUUUUUCCCUCACAUACAUCAAAUCGUUCCAGUUAUUUUUUCAUGAAAAAUGCAAUCCAAACGUAUUGUAUUGAAUAUAAAGGGAAAAAAGAAAAGGAAAACAAAAAGUGAAUUUCUUCUUAUGCCGACAACAAAUUACACAGGGUGAUGGAAAAUCAAAGCACCUGAAUGUCAACCCAUGCCUUUGCCAAAGUCUAACUUUAAAUAGGAGAAAUGAGAUAGAAACAUGAAAUUAAGUAAAUAAUACUUUAAUAUACUGACGUUUUUCCGACUGAGUUUUUUUUUAAAAACAAAAAAAUUUUGUUUUCCUGAAAACAACUCCAAAAUCCAAUCAUUCAAACAAAGUCAAAUAGAUUACAAAACAGCUUUGAGGUAUGUCAUGAACAAAGUUUGGAAAUGGCUUAAUUUUACUUUACAUCCUUCAAAUAUAUUUGAAUUCCCACUUCCGUCUCUCUUUAAUUCCUAAAGUUUAGUCUCAAAAAAGCAUGAAAUUUGUCUUACCUUAUCCUUUAACUGUAAAAUUUGUCCCACGAUUUUAUUUAAGUGGGGCAGAACUUAGAUUUUACAGACUAAAGUGUUUUAUUUUAAAAUUUAGAAAUCGAAGUAAGAUUCCAAAUAUAGUAGAAGGGUGCAAAGUGGAAUUAACCCUUGGAAAAUAGGCAUGAUUAGUAACCAUCCACGGCCAUCUUUGUUCCUACUUGUGUGCUUUAAUAAUUGUGAGACAGAGGCCUUGGAAAUUAAUGCUACUUUAUUGAAUCACAGAACAUGGAAUUGUGCGUUUUAACAUUCCAUGACACAUUAAGCCAUAGAAUGUAGGGGUAAUUUCAGAAACCUCUCUUGAGGUUUCUAAACAUUUCACAUAGAUACCCUCUAAUAUGAAAAAUUAUACUGCCCUCCCCUUGAUUGACAUAGUUGAUGACAAAUUAAGCCCCAUAUGAGAAAAGGUAAUCUUAAAAGUAAUGAAUCAAUCUUGUCAAACAAUUAUAUUUCAAGUUUGCCCUUAUUGACCCUACAAGAAAAUGAGUUAAAAUUUUGGGUAAGAAAAAUGGCAAUAAAAAAGAAAAAUUGGCACCAAGUUGAUCCCCUUGGGACAUGAAAAUAACAUUAAAAUCAACAUUCUCAAUAGUAAAGUCUUACAAGAAUCGUUAGAAGUGCAGCGGUACCCAAAUAUUGAUAACGAUCGACCUGCAUUUGCUAGCUAUAUUCAUUUCAUUCAGAUUGUAAAAUUCAUUUGAAAUAUGAAUAUAAUUGUAAAAAUGUACCCCCAAAGUUGAGACUUGGUAGUUAUAUAAUGGUAGAACCACAAGGGCACGAAAUAGUGGAUUUAAAUUCAUCUACAAUAUUUAGUAGAAAUUUAUCUACCAAACUUCGAAAUCAAAGAUUCUAGAUGUACAAAGCACUAUAAACUAAAACAAGUUUUAAAUAUAAUAAAUAACAAGGUCAUACACUUCAAGUUUAUUGAAUACCCACAAAAAGUUGUCAUGUUGUUCGAUUCAAGCAUAUUAGGAGGAAUUGCGUUCAUAUGAUCCACAAAACAAGUUGAUUACCAGCCCAUUUUCAUGUAACUUAAACCUUUCCAAUGACUGUUCUAUCAGUAUUGGCAUCCAUAGUUGCAACACUCAUUGGAAUCAUACAUUUCAUAUGUAGCAAAUAAUUAAGAUUUUUAGGUAAUUCAUGAAGUACUUUCUCACAAAUAUCAUUCGAUAGUUCUAUGUAAGAGUACUUAUCAAGACCGAUAUUAAGAAUCCUGAUUCUCUUUCCCUUGUAGUGAAUUACAAUGUCAUAUGCAACUAUAGGUGACAUCCUAUUUUAUACAAUUAAUCAUUAGUAUCAUAAUUGUUACUAAAAUCAAAACUUGAAUAAUAAACUGAAACCUUCUUUAUCAUAUAGGAAUAACAUCUAGGAGCACCUUUCACAAUACAAAAAACUGGGCGCUGGGAGUGUUUGGAUAGCACAAAUAUUUCAAAUAAUAUUUCGCUUGCAUCAUAAAUACAUUUUCCAACCCACCUUUUUAUAUUUCCCAAUUACCUUUUUAUUUCACAUACAUCACAUCACAAAACGUACUACAGUAAUUAUUCCAAAUAAUAUUUCAAAUAAUACCUUAUCCAAACAAUUAUAAUUUUUUGUUCAUUUACCCACAUUAUAUAGGUUUGUUAUCUCGAAACAAUCUCAACUAAUCUUUCAUUCUUCCAUUACCAGCAUUUAUUGCUCGACAAGUUUUACAAGUAGUACAACUAAUAAAUUGAAUAGAAAAAUAUUAUGCUUGGAAGACUUAUUUUUCCCCAUAUUUCUAGGACUCUAGGGACUGAUUUUGUAAGGGUAUUUCAGUCACUUUACUGUUGUUGAAGAUGAUACCUGGUCACUUCAAAAUGAAAUGGGAGGGCAGUGUAAUUUUUGAUAUUAAAAGGUAUUUAUGUGUAAUUAUUAGAAACCAAUUAUUCCAAGAAUUUCUACUGCUAAUUUUUUUUGCUUUGAAUUUGAAGUACGUUACGUUCAGGCCUUUCAGUUUCAGCAUAAUAGUCCUUUGCCAACACCCCCACCCGCAACCCCAAAAAAAGUAUAAAAAAAAAAAAAAACACACACACACACACACACACACACACACACACACAAUUAUUAUUGUCGCUUUGGGGCUCCCUCAAUUUAAACCUCACUUGCUCCUUACUUCUUCUCCCCCUCCCGACUUAAAACCAAACAUCUCUCUCUCUUUCCUCUCUGCGUCUCGGCUAAGCAAAUUCAAAAAGGUAAGGACGAGUCAUAAGAAAAUUUCUAACCAAUCGAUCAUAUUAGUCAUUUUAUCCUAACCGUUCAGAUUUGGUCUUCUUGUCUCAAUCUUUAAGAGCUCUAGUAAUUUCAACAAAAUGUGAAUUUUUAUAUGUUGUUAAUUCCGACUAGUUUGAAGCUUAUUUUUUUGGCUCUCGCUGAUCCGUUUUUUAGCUUCUGUGUUUUCAUUUUUAGCAUUUGUUAAAUGAUCUGUUUGUUUUGGUUUUAGAUCGGUUAGUUUUUAGCACUAACGAUGAAACAAGCGAUUCAAUUGUAGUUGAUGCGUUUUUAGAAAUUUUAGAUUUUAGGUGACUCGCGGAAUUUUCAUGACCUGGUAAUUGUCUUUUAUCAGAUCCUUUUGUUGGAUAGAUGGUUUAAUUCGUUUAAACUGUGAAUGAUUUCUCAAUGUGGAUUUAUGUUGAGUUACUUCAAUAAUUUUCACUGCUACAAGUUUAGGAAUUGGAUCUCCUUCAACUUUUUUCGCGUAGAUUUCUUUCUCGUAGUUCAGUAUCAGUCCGUUGUUGUAAAAAGUUAAUUUGAUGAAUGUUUGUGCCACUGAUCUAUAGGGACAACUCGAUCUAGCAUGUUUAGUUUUCUCGAUGAAAUCGUAAGAAAUUUUAUGGCUUCUUGUUGAUACAGUAAGAUUACUGAAAGAGAAUGGGUCGGGGAGUCAGUGCUGGGGGAGGUCAGAGUUCUCUGGGCUACCUCUUUGGAGGUGGAGAGGCCGCUAACACUCCUCCAGCUGCUAAGACUGAAGUUAAGGCUUCAAAUGGUGAGUCUUCCACCAAGCCUGCUGCUGUUUCACAGCCUGUGGAUGCCAUUAAGCAAGUUCCAGCCGGCAUUCAAAGUAAUAACGCCAACAACUAUAUGCGGGCAGAUGGCCAAAACUGUGGAAAUUUUCUGACGGUAUGACUCUUUGCGUUAGUUCUAUGCUAUUUUAUUAUGUAUUGUCAAGUUCUUGUUGCUCUGGAAUAAGUAUUGCUUGCAUGGAGGACGUAAAGAAGCAUUACCUUACCUGGAAAGAGAUCCACAAUCUGACUCAUCUAUAGUUUGGGUUUAAGUCAGAAUCAAAUACAACAUUUAGCCUGCAAUACACAAUGCAUGUAUCAGAUAAUCUUUCGCACACAUUGCCUCAUGGGUUAAUAAGCUAUGAACAUAUCUAUGCAUUUUGAUUCAUCGUUGAACUAAUGAAUUGGAGGAGUAUUAGUAUGAUAUGCAAGUUAAAUUCCUUCUGGACAAUUUAAUGUGAAAGAGUCACUUCGCUACCCAUUACUGUCAUUCUAUGAUGCAUAGCUGAUGGGUUAGCUGACUGGUGAUAAGGCUUUACUGCAAUUUUUUUGGAUGUGUCAUGUUUAUGAACCUGCUGGAAUCGUCAAUAGCAUCUCUAGCACAAAUCCUCAUGGCAGCUGUAGAUGCUAUCAUGACUCCAUUCUGUUAAAAGAAAGAAUUAUGGAGGUUUACCAUAUUUGUCAUGUUAAUCCUCCUAGAAGAUUCUUACGUAUUUCGCCAGUUUGCGGUCUAUAUCAUAGAACACUCUCUUCCUUGAUAAGCAAACUGCAAUUGAUUUCGAGACACCAGUAUUAUCUGUUUACUAUACUAGAUCAGUUUCAGAUGCAACUUAGCAACUGCAAAUUAGCAGAUGCAACUUGUGCUCUGCCUCCACCCCAAUGGCGUACUGCCAUCCCUUGAACUUGAUAGCCAAAUAGGUUUGCACUUUCUAGAUGGUGCAUAGUGUUAAUAAUCUUAUCUUUUGAGAGCUUGAUUUGAUUGUUGAUUUAGUUAUAGUGGGUAGCCAUCAUGCUUUUGCUUGUCUUGACAUUUCUGGAAGCUGCCAAGCAUUUCUAAGAAUCAUAAUCUUCUUACUGCAGGAAAGGCCGUCAACCAAGGUCCAUGCUGCUCCUGGCGGUGGUUCUUCACUUGGUUACCUGUUCGGUGAUGGCAAGAAAUGAUUUGUACUUGAGACCUGUGGCCUGUGGCCUGUUGCUUGUGCAAUUACUUUGAAAAACAAAAAUUCCUUAUUAUUUGAUGUUUGGAUCGUGAAAUUUAUGUGGAACUGUCUAAUUUUCAGUCACUUCCGUGAUUGAAUUUGACAAUGGGAGUUAUAAAAGCAAUGCUGGAAACGAAGGCAUUUGCUGAUAAUCUCUCUUGUUUCUAUUGGAACAGGCAUGUUAAUGGAAGUAAUAUGCUAGUGAUACAUGUUCUUUUUUUGAGUGAUAUGUUACUGCUACGUGUUCAUGAAGAGUAAUCUGUUAGCAGUACAUCAGCUAUGUUCUGUGACUAUGACGCUAUGUACAUCAGCUGUGUUUUGUGACAAUGACGCUGUGUAUUGGGAGUGCAGGUCAGAAUACAGAGCGAUAGUCAGAACGAAGCGCUCUCCAAACAGAGGGUUGCUUUUACUUUUCGGGCUUUAGGCCUUCACAAUCGGGAAAGGCUGUAAAUUUGCUGCUCUAGUUUUUGUUUUGUGCUCUCCGAAGGCUGUAAAUUUGCAGCUUUCGAUUUUGUUUUGUGCUUCUGUUUUAAACCUUUACGAUCGACAAGGGAUUGUAUUUCUAUUUCUCAUUUUGCUUCACAACUGCCUAUUAAUUGCGUUAAGAGGGGAGGUAGCCACUCUUGUUUUUGUUUUUUAUUUUAUGCGGUCAAAAUGCAUGGCUCAUUGGUUUGGAUUGUCUAAGAUUGUGCUAAUUCCAACUUAUCGAACGCUAAACCCUGAAUCUGCAUUGCACUUCUAGAAUGGUAGAUUUUGACGAUUGUACAUAGGCUCUUUAGCAAGAAUUAUUUGUCAAUUGAAGAGGUCUCUUAUCACUCAAAGCAAAAAUUUAUACAAUCCAUUUCCUCUAAACUGAAGAAGUGCAGAAAUCCCAGUCACCAGCUUUGUUAUCAAUCGAGCUUCAAAAAUUGAUUGCCAAAUUUGUAUCAAAUCAGCCCCAGAUCAAAAUCUACCGCAUAGUCUGAAGUAAAAUAAACUAAAUUUCGGCACUAUUUUCGAGGAGAUUUGAAUGCCGUUCCUCCUUCAACCAAAACAGGUUUGUUAACCAGAAUAAUGUAGAACGGUUAAACCCCAAUUUAAUCCACAAGCAUGUCAUGAACACAUCUAAUCAUUAUCUUCUAUCUAUCAAAGUCCCACCCUGCUGAAUGUUGAGCUUCAGAGAUCUCAGAAAGAGCACAAACAAAUGCCAACUGAAAGUCAUAAAACACCUUCAGCACAUAUCACACACCUAAUCAACUUAAAAAUGGGCCUAGCAGACCAGAAACAAUAAAAAAGCCAAAGAAAGCUUAGGAUAUGCUUUGAACAAAGAAACUCAAAGCAUUUGUAGAAACUAUAAACCACAAAUGAAGGAAACAACAGAACAUCUACCAAAAAGGUUCUUCAAUCAAAUUAAAGUUUCAAUUUUGUGACUUCGAAUCAAAUGAAAUUCGUUCGAGACCUACAACGAAACAGUCAUAAGGAUAAUAACAACACCAAAAUUGAUUAAAACACCACCAUCUUUAAUUAAGCUACUAAUUAAACCAAAAGUUCUUUUUUUUUUUUGAGGGGGAGGGUAAAAAGCUCGAGACAAAUAAAGGUAACAUGAUGGUGACGGCGGACGCAGAAAAUUUAGAAGCCGAGCUUGGUGCGGCGCCAGUGGCGGCGCUUGGCAUUGUAGCGGAUGGUGUUGUCAGUGCGCAUGCGGAUCCAAUAAGGGAUGGGCCUGUUCUGCCUCUGCUUCUUCGCCAGCUUCUUCUUUAUCAUGAAGGUCUUGUGGGACGGCUGAUUGAACGUCCAAGAGAAACAAAACGCAUUUCAGCAGUCACGAUUCACGACUAAGAAGGAAUACGGAAAGCAAUAGAAGAGAAAGAUGAAGUCAGAGGAGCUUACCAUCUUCGGUUGCUGUAAGUUGAAGGAGAGCACCGGCGGGAGGAUGGGUUGGCUUCGGAAUAGCUGCAGAGAGGCUGAAAGCGAGGCGGCCGAGAAACAUAAACCCUAAAUCAAAUGAACAUAUAUAGUGGGACUAUAUGUACUCUGGAGUUAUGGGGCGGACUACUUACGACCUUUCUGAGGUCUUGACCGCCUGGCCCAGUUACCCAAACUCUUUCAGAUGAGCCCAAACAGGGUGUCUCCCACUAGUACUCGUAGAAUUGAGUCAAAAAAGAAAAACAAAUACUCAUACAAAAGUAAACCUCAAGAAAGUAGAGACAGAAAUUAUUAGCAAAUAUGGGAGGAAAACUUUUGUAAUGAACUAAAAAGAAUUUACUACUAUUUAUCUAUGCUAGAUCUUUAUUUUACCCAAGAAAAAAUUGCCCGUGUUUUUUUUUCACCGUGGAAAGCCUGUAAUGCUAAACAUAAUAUAAGAGCUUUCCAGAAUAUUUACCUAAUUUAAAAAAAGCAAAAAAGAGAGUUUAUGAAGCUAAAAAUGAAGGGUGUGAAUCAUUACUUAAUAAAAAAUCCAAAUAGAACAUAACAUUUAAAAUCAAUUAGUAACGUAAAUAAAUGUGUGUACCCGGAAUAUAAGGUUGUGUUUGGAUUGCAUUUUCGGUCAUUUUUCAUGGAAAAAUUACUGUAGUGAUUUGAUAUAUGUGAGGGAAAAAUGUGAUAGGGAAAUGUGAUCAUGAAAAACGACAAUAUUUUCCGACGGAAACAAGCAAUCCAAACAAGGCAAGCAUAUAAAGAACAUGUUUCUUUGGACCUCUACCUUUGGGCGUGUGCGUGCUUUUUUUUCCCCCUAUUUGUUAUUGAGUAAAUCUUAUAUACAUUAACGGUAUAUACACUAUCAUGGUUAGAUAUAUGACAUAUAUGCAAAAUUUGAGUUUCAAAUUUAAAUUCGAAUUAUAUGUCAUGCAUUUAAUGAUGAAAAUGUAUACAUUGCCGUGUAUAGGAAAUUAAUCAUUUGUUUAAUAGUAAACAUUUACCUUGUCAUGUUAGCAAUUCUUUUCUAGAGUGAAGGCAUUUGACCUCUUGAGUAGGGAUGACAAAUCCCCCCCCUGCCCCGUCCGCCGCUCCCCUAACCCGUCCCAUUUCUUCCACAGGGUUAUAUAAUUUUAUUAUAGUUAAAUUUUUGCAAAUAAUCAAGUACUAAAAUAUCAACACAUCACCAAAUUAUUAUUCAUUGUAAUUUCACAAUUGAAACUUAUAAAAACAAUCAAACAAAAGUUAUUUGAAUACAAUCCAACAUGAUGAAAUAAAUACAACUAAAGUAGUCAAGUUUUCACUUUUGGCACAAAUACAAUCACUAAUUCAUUAUUGUGCUUGUGUUUUUUUUAAGAAAAAAAUUUUAUUGUAUUAAGUGUAAUUAGGGAUUUAGUAUAAAUGUAUUAGCAAAUUUAGUAUAACAAUUAAUAAUUUGUAUUAGUACACAUAUAUAAUUAUUAGUAUAAUUGAUGAUAUCAGUUAUAUUAUAUAUACUAAUAUACAUUAUAUAAUACAUAUAAUUAAUAAUAUCAUUAUCAUAAGUUUGUAACUAAUUAAUUUAUAUAUUAUAUAUAUAUAAUUAUAUACCUAUAUAUUUUAUAUAUUUAUUUUUUUAAAACGGGUGGCGGGGCGGGGGUACACUCCCCCGAUCCCCUGCCCGUUUCUAAGCAGGGUUCCUCCCGCCCCCUCCCUAUUAGUCCCCUGUGGGGUGGGUGUCCGCAGUCACCAUCACCCAUUGCCAUCCUUACUUUUGAGCGAUCCGGUAUUUUGAGUAUUUACACCUAUGAUUCUUAGCAAUUGCACUCGCCUUUUUUGAGUUUUAAAAAAAUAGCACUAAUCUUCCAUGUUACGGAGGUCAAUGCUUUUUUUGAAACUUUAGACGAGGUGAAUGCAAUUAUUAGAAACCUCAGGAGAGAUUUAUGCAAUUGUCCCUUCUUUGAAUGCCCGCAACGGAGCGCAUGGGAGAUAAAAUUUAUAAAAAAAAAAAAACUUGAAAAUCAGGAAAGGUUCAAAGAGGUUUCUAAUUUAAUAUAACAUGAACCUGAAAGGGGGAGGAAAUAAAAAGAUACUCUUUACUAAUUUAAAAAAAAGGAAGAAACGAAUAAAAAUUCCCUCGGGUACUUGAACUACCCGCAAAUUAGGGUUUUAUCUUUCUCUGGGUUUCCUCCCUUGCAGAGCCCUUCCCGGCCCUAUCCGGCUAUCCCCCAGUGCUAUUUGCUGCGGAAGCUCAGCAAGUUUUUCCCAUAAAAAAUUAAAAAAGGAAGUUAGAUAAAAGGAAAAAUGACAACUGUGGUUCCUACUUCGGAGGAAGAUCCUGCGCUCUCCGUCGUCCGAUUCACCGCCGAGCUGUCCUGGGCUGAUGCGGGUCUCGAGGUUUUCCCCUUCUUCACCACUUCUCUGUAACAUCGUCUUAUAGCUCUUGUCUGAGAUUGCUCCUCAACAAACACACUCAUAUUAUUGAGAUUAUUGAUGCAUAUAUGUACAACCAAUAAAAAAAAUAUAGAUAUGUAUGUUUUGUAAUUUGUUAGACGUAGGAACGAGUAGAAUUUGAAUUUUGUACUUCUUUUUUAAAAUUUUGUUCGUAUUAUGGAUGCGUGUGCCAAUAUUAGGUAUCGGAGGCACAGGUAAAUAGCUUGUGCAUGGAGGCGCAGGAGUGCAUGAUUGAAGGUAGAUGGCUGGAUUUGGCUUCUCUCAUGCUUACGUCUGCUGAUUUGAUCUUUUCCAAAGCUUCCGAGAAAGGUAAUUUCUCUUGAGAAAUUAAAUAUCUAAUUAUAGCAUGAAUUUGCGAAACGUAAAUCAUCACAUUGAUUAGUAUUCUCCUUUUUUCUUUCUUUUUUUUGGUGGGUGGAGGUUUCAUUAGUAGUAAAAUUGAAUAGGGAACUAGGGAACUAGGGAUUCAAUAUAUAGAUUUCUCAAAGGAUUGCAACCUCCUGUUAGUUAUCAAAAUUUUCUCAUUGCCGAGUAUAGAACAGGAGGAACCAAAUUGUUUUACUAGGUGAGAUGACAUUCCUGUAGGGCUUUCGACGCAUUAAGCGAAGACACCUUUGUCUCUUGGGGAAUGGAAUUAAUGCUUUUCAUAAACAAUUUUUUCCUCCUCCAUUUUCUCUCUGCAAAUGUUCAUAUUGUUGUACAUGGCAUAAAAUCUGCUAUCCAGUGGCUACUUUUACCCCUUCUACUGUAUUUAAGUCUUGCUUUGUUUUUUGGUUACAUUUUCUUCUCGUGUGUUUUUCUUGGUGGUUCUUGUGCUUUCUAUUUGUCAAUUGUACGAGUGACCUAAUACUUGUUGGUUUUUUCAUCAGAUCUUGAGUGUGUUUUCACUGUGAUUUGCAACCUUGUUAAGAAGGCUGAAAAUUUUGAUCAAGUACACACGAUGGCAGAUAUCAUAUCCUCAAAAGUCACCCAACAGCCCAAUGUUAAACCUGCAUUGCGAGUAAAAAUGUAAUACACACCAUUGAUGAUUAUUUAUCAGCUUAGUAAGCCUGGAUGCUUUCUUGCACUUAGUCUUUUCUCUUUGUUGAAACAUAACAGUUUGUUCAACCUCUACAAUCUGCUGGAGAACCCAGCUAGCUGCUUCUUUGUGUACAUGAAAGCUCUUAGCGUGGCAGUCAGUGGAAAAGUCACUGAACAUGUAAUACCAUCAUUCAAGAAUAUAGAUAGCUUCUUGAGGGAAUGGAAUCUUGGGGUGAAGGAUCAGAGAGAGCUCUUCCUCACCAUCUCUAAUGCAUUGAAAGAAAAUAAGAGGUAGGAAAUGUUUCAGGUUGUCAAUUAAUCUUUUGUACUCAUUGUACUUGCUAUGACGUCUCUUGCCCAAAGUAUGUUGUCUCAUUUCAUCUUAUUUGUCUAUUUGUGGGGUCCCAGCUCUGCAAAGGAUUCUUUCAAGUUUCUCACUAGAUAUCUCGCAACCUUUUCUGAUGAAGAUGCAUAUGCUCUGAGUGAAGCAAAGGAAGAAGCAGUCCGUGCUAUAGUUGAUUUUGUGAAGGCACCUGACAUGUUUCAGGUUUCACUUGUCUGUCUCUUUGCAUUGCAUAUAAACUGGUUGUGAGGAGCUCCAAGGCUUGGUUGAAUCUGACUUUAUGGUGCAUGAUUAUUCAUCUCCAAAUGUUACAUUAAAUUUUUUCUUUAAUGUAAUUUUGAGCUGCAGUGUUACAUAUAUGCUUUUAUACUUAAUUAUCAAUUUGGUACGUCGGAACUUAUUUGUGUGAUGUGUCAGCGUUAUUGAGUCAUUUGUAUCUUGGAAUGGGAAACCUACAACUCAUCAAUCAAGUUAGAUUUUGUUCUUGUGGUCUUGGAGUACAGUAGUUGUAUUUCUACUUCCAUAGUUAUGUGAAUAGUUGAUAAACUGGACGAACUUGGCAGAUGCUAUGUCUUCUUGGAAUACAGCUAUAUGUCAAUCUUGUAGAGGGUGAAAAGCUGUAUGCCUUUUACGAAACCAAGGACCUAAUUUAGUUUGUGUGCAACUUGUACUGGUGCAUCUGGAAGUUACUCUUGCUAUUAUGUUUUGGAUAAGCUAUUUCAUUCUUCCUGUUCGGAUAAUGAUUCUUUUAUGCUUUUUCUUGCUAGUGUGACCUGCUAGAUAUGCCUGCUGUGGCACAGUUGGAGAAGGAUGCUAAACAUGCAUUGGUAUAUCAGCUUCUGAAGAUCUUCUUGACUCAGAGGCUGGAUGCUUACUUGGAUUUUAGUACUGCAAAUUCUACUUUGCUGAAAAGCUACGGUAUUAUCUUAUACGUGUGCAGUUGUGGUCCAUUUGAUGUACCAGCGUCAUGCUUUUUUUAGUUUAACUCUUGCCUAUAAUUGCUUGUUUGGAUUAUACAGGACUUGUUCAUGAAGAUUGUAUAGCUAAAAUGAGGUUGUUGUCAUUGGUUGAUCUUGCCUCCAAUGAAUCUGGCCAAGUUCCUUAUUCUUUGAUCAGGGACACACUGAAGGUGAUUUUUCAUUUUCCUUUUCUGAAGUCUAAUGAUUCUGCAACAUUUUAAUAUUUAUUGUGUUAGAUGUUGACAUUUUCACAGAUUGAAGGGGAUGAGGUUGAAUCAUGGGUUGUUAAAGCAAUCACAGCAAAGUUAAUCGACUGUAAGAUAGAUCAAAUGAAUGAAAUAGUAAUUGUGAGGUACAGAAUUUGCAGUUUUCUUUUCCUCUACUCAGAUUAACCAGUGGUGAGAUGUGAUGUUGGCACUUACAGCAGUUACUUUGUGUUAUUAUGUGAGUAGACGUGGUACAGAGCGUGUUUUUGGGCCACACCAGUGGGAAAUACUCAGAGCAAAGCUUGUGAAUUGGAGGGUAAGUUCUCUAGCUUCAGUCAUAUAAACUCCUUUUGGGCACUGCACUCUGAAAAUCUGAAAUUUAUAACCACCAAAGUUGUUAAUUUUGCCUUUAGCGGUGUCACCUUUUUUGUGUAUGGUGGUAUGCCUGUAAUAACCUUCUCUUGAUGUUAAAGCUGACGGUCAUGUUUGUACUGCUUCACCACUGUUACCGGGUUUUCCUUAACUAUAAAGUGUUUUUUGGGAUCAUUUAUUUCUGCUGAAUUUUUUGCAGACCAAUAUUGCAAACGUCAUUACCUCCAUUCAGGCUAACAAGAUAUCAGAAGACAGCACACAAGAAGGAUUGAUGAUUCGCUGAAAUUUGUUCGUUGAUCAGCCAUUGGUCCAUGGAAAUCGUUGGGUACCAGACAGAAAUGGGCUUCCAUGUGGAAAAAUCGCAAUCUCUGUUGUUACUUUUGAUGUCAGAUAACAUUUUGUAUCUUUAUAGCCUCGGUUUAGGUUAAAUUUAAAGACAGCAAAAAGAAAGGUUGAAAAUCUGUGUUGCAUGUCACAAAAUUUUGGAGUCAUUUAAGCUGUAUGGAAACAAUUUUGACUCGUGACCAUGAGUUGCUUAGUUUGAUUCAAUCGACUUCUGCAGUGUAUGUUAUUUUGUAAUUGGGGCCGUUGGAACUCUUCUCAUCCUCCUAAAUUUCAGCAUAUUGAGGGAGCUGCAAAAGCAAUCUCAUUCAUUUGUUUUAUUACCAAUGUCUUUGCGUGUCACUUGCGUUGCUAUUUAAUUAAACAAGUGCAAGAUGAAAGUUCUAAAAAGCUACAGAGGAAAAACUCUAGUUUAAGUGCAAGAGCAAAGUUCUAAAAGCUACGACAAAAGAGCACCUGUUCAUACUUAUGAGGUAUUUAUGGCAGAUUUUGAGGAAUUUCCAGAAGAGAUGUACCAUGUUUUGAAAGAGAGUUGAUGCUGGGCGGUGGAAAACUGUUGAGUACUGAUAAUUUAUUUCUACAGAAUCGAACACGUUGGCAGACAUUCGCACCAUUUUGCAUCCAACUCUUGUUAUUAUGAAAGGCCUUGUGUUUUCUUUUGUAAUUGGUAGAUGCGCAUGGCCAGUUUUUCAUACAUCAUUUCUUCAUCGAAACUGGAAAUUGGUUCACUCACACCAACAAAAUCUCAUUUUGUUCCGAAAGGUUACACGGGGCAAUCAGUGUAAGUAAUUGUUUCUUUCAUAAUACACUAAAUAUGCAACCUUUUCCUGGUUACAAACGGUAAUAUGAACUGGUUGCUGGGAACAUAAGAUAUGCAAGUUCUGUCCACUUUUGCUUCCAGUAGUUUGUUGUUGAAGGAUCCUACUAUUGCACUGUCGGAAAUUCCAAAGGAACCACAGAUGAUCUUAGCUCAGUUCACUUUUUGGUGAACUGCUCCAGUGCACUUCAUUCCAAAGUUACAAGAUCAGUGUCGCUUUUGGGUGCCUGUAAUUGCCUCCUCACUAAUGCAGUGUAAAUUCCAUCCCUGUUCAGCAGCUCUUCAUGGGUGCCACUUUCAGCUAUCUGGCCAUCAGAUAUGACUGCAACUGUGUCAGCGCUUUUGACAGUAGAAAGCCUGUGUGCUAUGACCAGAACAGUCCUGCCUCUCAUUAGAGAAUCCAUGGCAUCCUGUACAUAAAUUACAAGUCAGCGGAAUAUGCUGGAACUGGUUUGGAGACAUGAAAAAGAUGCAAAAUGAUCCUCACAGUAACAUUUACUUAUGGUAUGAGAAAAAUAAUGCAGAACUACUAGCCACUGAACACAAAACACUGAUUAUAAAUGGAGAAGGUACUGAAAAUUUUAUUAAGACUUUAACAUCAACUCACGAAUGACAAUAAAAUAGCAUUGCCCAAUUUGGAACACGAAUUUUAGGAGCAUAUUAAUCAUAGAGUUUUCAUACAAAAAGGAAUUACGACAGGAUAAUUAAUCUCACCUGUACAAGGUACUCGCUCUCAGCAUCUAGAGCACUUGUUGCUUCAUCCAAUAGCAAAACUCUUGGGUUCAUCAAGAGAGCUCUUGCUAUCGCAAUUCUUUGCUUCUGGCCUCCUGAUAACCUCAAUCCACGUUCUCCAACAACAGUUUGAUAUUUAUCAGGAAACGAUGCAACAAAAUCAUGUGCAUUAGCCAUUUUCUGCAGUAUUUAAUCCCAUUAGUAUUAGUCAGUGACUCAAAUGCCCAGGCAAAGAAAUCACAACAUAAAACAAAAGCAUGAAAUAGAAACACGGAGGUACUUACAGCAGCAUUUUCUAUGUCUGUGCUGCUUGCUUUGCCAUCAAAACCAUAUGCAAUGUUCUCUUCUAUGGAACAAUUAAAAAGAACAGGUUCCUGGCUCACUAUACUGAUCUUUAAGUAGACAUGCAGACAAGAAGCACAAAACUUCAGUGUAUUGGGGGACACAAUGUUAUUGUGUUAUAAAUUGCUCAAAAAACAACCUUAAAGUGUUUCUGAAACUAACUUCAGGGAUAGCAGGACUAGAAUACCUUCCUGUGUAAAUACUCGUGUGAUAUUUCAACCAAGGAAACUCCAUUAAGCAAAAUCUUCCCCUUUAUUGGGUCAUAAAAUCUCUCAAUCAAGUUAGCUAUAGUUGUCUGCAAUCAAAAUAUGGGAUUGCUUGAUGAGAUAAUAUAUCAAAAAGCUCCUCAGAUGCAGAAAAAGGCGCCUUCACAGCAAAAAGAUAAAAGAACUAGGAAAAUACCUUUCCUCCGCCACUUGGACCAACCAGGGCUACUUUUGAACCGGGUUUCAGUUUUAAGGUUAUUCCCUGCAUUUGUUACAGAACAUACUCAACUGUAAUCCAGACAUGAAAACAUGAAUGUUUCAUCAUCUCUCCAGGAAAAGUGUACAUAAAUUUUUGUCAUUUUGAUCUUGAUAUAUACUAUCAAUGAAAAGACUACUCAAAAAAAGCUUUCGAUCUAAUCUUCAUGAAGAACUCAAACAAAGCAUCAUCUCAGGAUGAAUAUAAAUUGUAAAUAUAAGAAACAGACAUUCAAUAUCUCACUGCUUCAUCUAAAUGUGAGAAAUUUUAGUUCAUCAAGGAAUGUCAUACCUUGAGCACCAUAUGACUCGGACGAGAAGGGUAAGCAAACCAGACAUCCUCCAAUGCCACAUCUCCAUCUGGAUUGCUGAUCACAAGACCAAAUAUCAAAUUAGCACCAAAGCCAGAGAUCCUAUGCACCUACAACGGGAUUCUUUCUUCUAGUUUAGGGUGGUUUCUGAAAGCGGAAAAGGGCAUGUUUAUGGGGAAAAUUCAACAAUCUUUACGAGGGAAACCCCUAGAAACACUUAAAAUUACUUUUCCAACAAACAGGGAAAGGAAAGAAUUGUAAAAGUUUGAAAUGGGUCACGGUCCCCCACCGUGGUUCCUCAUCUUCACGUUCCAUUCAUCAAAAUACUGCUUUAGGGUCUUGAUAUGGAAAAUCACAUGUUAAUGGAAACACUUUAAAUCUAGAUUGUUAUUUAAGCAAGUUUUCAUGUAUGUCCAACAGACAAGAAGCUAACCCCAUGGGACAUUUAUCUCCUGCUUUAGGCAUGGUAGAGACACGAUCUAAAAUUUGAAAAACUCUCCUACUUGCACCUGCUGCUUUCAUAGCUGUUGUAUAUAAUCCUGAUAAUGAUGAUAUUGAGGACCCAACUGCACAAGGAGUUUUCAGUCAAUAAAGGCAAUGAUAAUGUGAAAACUUGAAGCUUUACCAUGCAACAUUAACUGUUGAAACCAUUUGAAAAAUGCAAUAUUCUGCUGCAAGGCUAUGGAGAACUUUUGGAGCAGGUUAGAUCAUUUAAGAUAAUAAAUCAUCCAACAAGGUGUCCUCCUUCCAUAAAAGCCUUUACUAAAUUAUCCAUGCUUGGAGUUUUAUCCAGCCUCUACUAGGGUCAUGUAGAUACGAAAUGGCAUCAGCUCCAAGUACAACCUGCAUAAAUAUUCCAGGCUUGGAGUUUUAUAAUUUUCACCUUUACUACCUUAUCCAGUAUCUUUCCCAUUGACAGUCUUUCCUAGUUAACCUUAUCAUUUGGAUAAUGAUAUUAUUAAGGUGUAGAUCUAGCUUGAUCUUUGCCAAAAAUAAAUAAAUAAAUAAAGGAAACCUUUCAGUAUGGAAUUCUAGUUUGGUCCUCAAUAGUUGAAACAAGAUCUGACUGUUAAGUAGGGACUUUUUUUUUGGGUGCAUUCAUGAACUAAUAGAAGUUAUCAUCCUCCAGUUGCCAGAUGUCUAUGUAAAACACUUAACGUAAAGAUAACUUCUGAGUAAAUCUUUUAAAUAUUUCUAUCACAAAGAGAAAAUAAACGAUUUCAUAACCUUGGAUAAUUUCUUUUGGCUAUUAAAGUGGAAUGGUAUCAAAUAAAGAACAAGAGAUUUACCUGUGAGGCUAUAGAGAAUGAAGGAUGUUAGAGAUCCAGUGGUCAUGGAGCCAGUUAUUGUCAAGUAAGCUCCAUAUAUCACCACUACUAUGACAGAUAAUGUUGAUGCAGCAUUGAGUCCUCCAAAGAAUAGUCCAACCACUUUCUGUGAUGGAUAAUUAGUUUGAGAAUCAGACAUCAAAGGUACUCCAUUUGUGCAUCUAAAACUAACAACAGAGGAGAAGUAUCUGGGCUAUGGAAUCUUUUGUGAGUACAGAGUGGAGAAAAGAGACUGACUGCUUGUCGGAGUCCAAGUUUCAAUGUCUCAUCAACCUUCUCAGAGUAACCUGCUAUUGCAUACUGUUCUUGGGCAAAAGAUCUCACUGUACGAAUGGCCCCAAAUGAUUCCUAAAGGUUAACUAACUAGUCAAACUAAUUUGUUGUCUGUUGGUAAGUUUUACACAAUAUCUCAGUCAAACACAAUAAACACAAACCUCGGCAAUUGAGGCAGCGACAGCUGCUGCUGCUUGAGUAGCAUGUGAAAGUUCCCGAAGAUAGCGGCCAAAUUUACGAACACCAACUGAAAUAACAGGCACGACAGCCAAAGCCAGCACUAUAGAACAUCACAGAAAAUCUUAGUAAGCAACUGCAUACAGAUUGGAUACUGCAGCACAGAUGAAAGACCAUUAAUCACUAACAUGUUAACUUCCAAGAAGAUGUGAACAUGAAUCCAAUUCCAAUGAUUGCAGUAGUCACAUUUCGUAGUGCCUCUGAAAGAUUGGUAGUUGCAGCACUUUUUAUGAUUUGGGUGUCUUCAGAUAGCCUGCUGAGAAGCUCGCCUGUCCGCGAAACAUCGAAAAAAGCUAUUUCCUGUGGAAUUUUUUGUAUCAGCACUUUACCAAUGUCCAAGUUGGACACAAGGAACAUCAAUUUUGAGGUAUAAGUGUCAGAAUCUUCCAAAUCUAUACCACCACAGUAAUUUGCCAUCUUACUGUCUCAACCACCACAGUAUAAUGUUCUUUACUAAAAGAUUCAUGGUUCUCAAAUUUUGGCAACCAAUUUAUCAGGAAGGUUGUGGAUUGGUACUAUAAGAUGCAUGUAUUUCACAAAGGUAAUGAACAAUGGGAAGCCUUACUUGUUGGAUAAGGUGACUAAAUAAAUUCUUCCUUAGACGAGCAACCACCCUUUCACUGGCUGAUGCAAAUAACCAAGACCGAAUUGCUGUUGAUACCGAACUGAACAGAAUAGAGGAUGAGAUACCCGAGAAGUGCUCGGAAUAAAAGAUAGCAGUGAAAAAGAGGUUGAUGAUGAAUGAGUGCAGGUGAACCUCAGCUUAUCUAUUUUUAUGAAAAAUGAAAGCUAGCGCAUGGAAAAAACACAACAGCCCCCCACCCCCUCCCCUCACCCACCUCCCUGAUAUUAAAGAUAAAUUUUGAUCAGACCCCCUUGAUAUCUAGAGAAAAAAAACAGAUCUACUGCAUCCUACUGAAUUCACAAAUUAUUUGAGUUAAGCAUAUAGAUUAUCAGUUCAAACUGCUGAAAUUAUACCAGAAUGCUAUCAGGUAUACAUGUACUCAUGUUAAGCCUUGAAAUUAAGUUCGUUAUUAAAAGCCCACUUCUCCAAUCUUCACACUUGACUAGGGAAUUGUAUUUACAUUAGAAAUACUUGUGAAUAUCAAUUUGGUUGUGAGGACAACAGAAAUACCCAUACCCGAUGACAACUAUUGAGAUGAUAGCUAUAAUUGUGUUCUUGAUGGCAUCUAGCGCUUCAGCUUGCUGUUCAGGAGUCCUCGUAUCCCUUGCUACAAUAUCUAUAAUCAUGCCACCAUACUUUGGCUGCAACACAAUACAAAUAUGGUUAAAGAGCAAUCCUACAAAGUUUGAAAAUUGGCAAGGUUUUUUGUCAAGAGAGCAGGAAACUGUUAUGUAUGGAGAAACUUCAAUCUGGCUUAAUUUUGGAAGAUAGCUAAUCAGAAGAAGUUUAUGAUCUGUACUAAUAAAAGGAAAAGAAAUCCAGCCAGGAGGAAACUAUACAGUAUGGGUUGGUAGAACAGGAAAAAGGAAACUUGAACUUUGCUGAACAGGGCAUGGAAUGGAUGAUAUCUCAAUCCUUUAGCAACCAUUCUUAGAACACUGAUUAGCAGGGUUAUCAUCAAAACUGGGAAUGGAAUAAUCAAGAUGAGCAUAUAUUAAGUGCAGAGUUUUGCUGAAGGAUAAUGAAUCAGUACGCAAAAUACCGUACUAUGAGAAUGCUUGAUGUGGAUGCUAUCAGCAAUGCUAUAGUAGCAACAAUUAAUUUUCCAGCAUCUGGCUUUGCCUACACAUUUCAAAGAGACCAUGAAGUGUUAGUAAAAGCACCAAUGAGACUCCAUUCUAGUCAUCACAGCUAAUGCAAGACUCACCAGAGAAAAGACUCUACCGAAUCCAACAUUUGCAGCCUGAAUUUUGCCACAGAAUUUGAACAUUAUUAGAACAAACCUACUACAUAGUGCACAAAGAGAUGCAGAAUCAAGGAACAGAAAUGUAACUACCUCUAAUGCACCAUGCUCCAGGUCUGUCUUGGGAGCAUCAGGGGAACCAUCCUCAUUUUCCUUCAGUCUAGCCUACAGGUAGAAAGGUAAGUUAAGCCUGUCAAAUUUAAGAUGAACAAAUAAACCGCAGUUAUGUAUCUGAAGCACUUGAUAAUCUACCAUGCAACAUGAUUUCUCAUAUAGCAUUCAACAGAUACAACAUUAAUAAUACCCUUCACCAAAAAAAAAAAAGGAAGAAGAAGAAGAAGGCAAAUUUGAUAGGUAUAUAUUACAAGGAGGACAACGACCCAUUCUUCUAAUUCAGGAGGGACGAGGUGCAUUUUGUAAAGUAAGCAAACUGUGAAAUGAUAAUCAUUUCCAGUCAAGUGUCCAGAUCAAAGUCACUAUAGCUUCCAUUUGUGUCCAGGCCAAUGCUGAUGCAAUACAAAAUGAAAAGAUUAGCCAUUUCCUAGCGUGAAGGAUCUACUCUCUGAUCAGCACAAAUCAGUCGAUGAACAAGGCUAGUCAUUGUUAAGCUCUGGUAUCGUGAAAUCAGAAUGCAAAGUUUCCAGUAGGGAUAUUUCAGGCGAAAUACCUGUUCCCAGGAUUUCUAGAAGAAUAAACACAACAAAACACCAGUAUAAAAGCUAGUAAAAGUUUAAAGCCAAAAUUCUCAAGUCAUGAAGUUCUUCAUAUAAGUACUAUCUCCCUAAAGACCGCUGUGUAUUAGGUUUGACAAAUCCAAUCAGACUUAGCCCUUGAAGCAGGUUAGACCGUACUGGCCUCCACCAUGUUUCACGCACCAUGUGUAGCUGCCGGUGCAGAAAAAAAGCACCAACCAAAAUUGGCUGCUGCAACAUGCCUUGCCAAAUGCCCCAAAAGUAAGAUAAUGCAAGCCAUCGAGUAAGUCGACAAAAUCACGGUACUGCUACAACAAGAAGCAACACGAAAUUUCACAUAGCAAAAGGGUACAAUGCGUGAUCAAUGAAUCAAAACAAAAUACACCAGAUGAUUAGAGGAUCCCCGGAACAAGUAAAACAGACAAGGAAAGACAGAAAUUUUGAUGAAAAAGCUUGCCUGUUUAUUCAAAAGAGAGACUCUUUCGCUACCAGUGGACAUGAUAGACUUCGACGUCCAAUCCAAAUGCUGUUUCUUCCCCAUGAAAAGUAAUAACUGAAGAAGCUAGUUAAAUAAUCAAAUACAAUUAAAGGAAAUUCAAAGCCAAAGAAUGAAUGUUCCUUUGGCUUCCUUCCCCAGAAGAUAACUAGGAGCUGACCUAAAUUAAAAUUCUUCCAAGAAAACCAAUAGAAAAAGAAAAUGAAAACUUCGCGGACUAUGGAAGCUACGCUGACGCAAGGAUUAUUACUGGGUCAAAAUCCCAUCAAGGUAUCCUAUUGAUUCUAGAAUUUAGUGAAUAAUAAUCCCACCACCAAACCAAGAAUCCUCCUCCUCGACCUGAAGGGCAGUUAUAAUGCCAACACACAUUUUAUAGAAUGUAAUCAAAUGCUACCACCAGAACGCUAAUACUCAUAGAGAGGUUGAUCUCUCACUCACUCUCAGGAGUUGAGACGUUGAGAUUUUCACGUGCUUUCGGGACCAAACACUAAUCAAUCAAGGAAGAAACGAUUUUUGCCUCAUUCGCCCCCUUUUUGACUUAACUUUCAUUACUUGAGGCGGGCUUAGUACCAAACUUUCAUGCAAAGUGUUACGGGUCGAUGCGAGGUUGGUUUCUUUCUUUUGAAAGCAAUAAUAAGACCUUUUUUCUAUUCUUUUGAAAGCAAUAAUAAGACCUUCGUCAAGUAACGCCUUGCUGUCUAGUCCCAGAUAAUAUGGUCUAGUUCUCACCUCUCCCCUGUCCCCCCACAAGUCUCUAUUCCUUAGUAAUAAAAAGUUGGGUGUUUUCGCUCCGGUCAUCACUGUGGUUUAAGUUAUAAAAAAAGUCUGAGUGUUUUCACUCCGAUCGUCACUGUAGUAAUUACUGAUCAUUCUCGUCAAAAUUCUUAUAGUAAUUACUAACACAGUUUUCGCGUGUAUUUAAUUAUUUUAUUUUUUUUAUUUUCCUGCCACGAUCAAAACAUACUCUCGAAAACAUGAGUUACUUACAAAAGCAAUUGCUCGUCAAUAAUAUCUACCAAUGCAGUCCUCACGUCCUAAAAGGAAAAGAAGCGGUCCAUGCCAAAUCCUAUCAAGAUAAUGCAGCUCUACUAGAAAAGAUGUGACCUUUUUUAAUCAUUCACCCCAUGAUUAAUGAUUGGGGGCUUUAUUACUCUAAUUGAAGCCUUGACUAUAGCAGUAAUAAAUGUUAGUACAUUAUCCCCUAUAUGAGUCGUAGCUUAUCAAACAAAACAUAAUACGGUAGUACUAACAACAGAAUCCACGGGUUCCGUUAUCAUGCAGGGAAGGUUUCAACUAUGAGGAAAAGAUACAGGAAACGAAGACGAGGACAGAGCAAAGAAGACAAGAAGUGAAGAAAUCAACUUUAGGCGUGGGUGGGUGCGUGGGGGUCGAGUCGUCCUGUCGUGGCCCCAUGUGACAACAACUCGCGAAAAGUGCCUUUCACGUACGUCUCUUGUACCUCAUCGUCCUUCUGAAGCUCUCAAUAUAAUAUUCACUGUUCUUUAAUGCAAACGUCUUUUUCGGGGCGUGAUUGAAUCUAGGAACCUAAUUCCACGUCCGCAAGACGGCAAAAGUGAAAGUGACAAUUACCAGAUCGUAAUUCUGCUUUUAACCCGCAUUUUCUUGUUUUUCCCCUGUAAUUUAUUUGUUGUCAAUAGACUCGAAUCUUUUAUGCUCUCGAAAGAAAAUUUUACCACUGACGAAAUCUUUUUCGUCAUUAUCAUGUACUACUAAUUAAUUGUACGGACUUCGUUUUCUUUUUAUUUAUUUAUUUAUUUAUUUUGGGUUCUGAGGAGGGACCAAAGGCUCUGUUAAGUACUAGCCUAGGGCACUAAUAAUUUAUGUCUUCUAUCGUAAAAGUCUUUGUUGGUCCAACAGGCCCGGAGUACCAGGUUCAAGCAACAAAAAAAUAAAAUAAAAUAUUCUUGUAUGGACGGUGAUCACGGAAAUCUUUCACACCCAGUUAGAACUAAAAAAAAAGGUGACAUGCGCGGUUCACGGUCAAGAUUUGAUCUAAAAAAAUUGUACGAUCCAGAUCAUUUAUUGUACUUCAUUUUUAACAAUGUAUAUGGGAUCCAUAAAAAUUUGUUCUAAAAUUACACGUUAUGUAAACAAAGUUAUGCCGUGUGUAAAUAAAGUUACGUAACGUAUAAAAUACACAAAAUCGCCGGAAAUGCAACCGUUCCUGCCUGUGGUCCAAAACAUUGGUGGGAUGGAUGAGUUGUCUUUCUGUGUAUUCCAGUUUCCUUUGGAUAACUUGGAGUAAUAGUACUUUUUUUAAAAACUUUUUUGCUUUCCUCUCACUCCCAAGUCAGAGGCUAAAGCAAUUUCUUCUUUCUUUCUUUCUUUUCUUUAAUUUUGAUAGACUAAUUAACAGCUCCUUUUCUAAUAAGAUUGUGAAUUUUUAACGUGGUUGUUUAUUCUGUCAACAGUUUGUUUCACUCUUAAAAAUGUGACUAAAUUCUUGGUCGGCAUCCACUUUUCUAGUCGUACCUGGACUACGAAUUUCAUUUCCCUGCCAAAUGUUUCUAGGUGGGCCGCGUGGCGCUCUUCCCUGAUGUCCACUGCCGCUCCCAAGGCCCACGUUGAUCACCCUCCUGAUCAGACCCAUAAACCUUUGCCGACAAGGCGGAGUACAUUCCAACGGAGUAGCCCAAAAUGAGCUCGGCUUUUGACCUUAAUAGCCUGGUUUUAGAACGGCAUUGAAUGGUCAUACUCACAUCACAGCGGUCUGCAAUAAGAACUUGGGCCUCGGAGCCUCCAAAGCCCAUUAAAGUCUUGGUUUUUCCUCUCCACGGAAGAUCGAAUGUCUUAAUUUACAUUGGAAUCAAUCUACCUGAACAAUAAAAAAUUUCAUGCAGGCUUUUCGGCCUCCAGCCCAAAGAAAAAAGCUCAUUUUCUUUUUCAUUUUACUUUGGUUUUAGUUAAAAAUCAUCCUGUGGGAGUAGAUAAAUGAAACCCACGCGUAAAAUGCAUUCUACUACAGUAACUAAACAAAAACGCAAAUUCACAUAUGAUAUGAUAGCCCUAUAUAUAAAUCUAGACUGGAAUCGAAGUUGUUGCGGUUUUCAUAGAUCAGUCUUUAUUAUAGGCUAUAGCUGUGCUGUGAUGGCAAAGUGGAAAAUAUUGGACUAUGACUUUAAAGUUUAUCUCCUCAAACUCAAAGAGUUUAUCUCCUCGAACUGAGUCAAGUCGAGUUUUCGAUUAAUCGAGUCGAGUCUCGAUUUAAUUUUAUUAAGUUCAAACUUGAGUUUGAAUUCGACGAGUUACCAAUUGAGUCGAGUUUGAACUUUGAACUCGAGCUCAAAAAAAUAAAAAAAGUUUGCCAUUUUUUUUUUCAAUUAAGUACUGAUUAGGGCUGCAAACGAACUGAAUCAAGUCGAGUUUUUGAUUAAUCGAGUCGAGUAUCGACUUAAUUUUAUUAAAUUCAAACUCGAGUUUGAGUUCGACGAGUUACCAAUUGAGUCGUGUUUCGAACUCGAGCUAAAAAAAAAAAUUAUUUUUUUAAAAAAUAAAUAAAAUAAUAUUUUUUCUUAAUAAAUAAUAAAAUAUUAUGAAUAUAUAUGUAAUUUUAUUAAUAAAUAUAAAAAAUAAAAAAAAUAUAUAUAUAUAUACUCAAGUUUUGAAGUUGACUCUUGAGUUAACGAGUUUAAUAUUUUGAAUUCGAGCUCGAGUCGAGCCGCUCACUAGGAUCUCUGUCCGUUUGCUACGUUAGUACUAACGAUUAAGAAAAACGGAAUAUGUGGUUUCAGCUUAAUAUAUGAAGCUUCAUCAUAUGAUGGUAUAGAGAGAGACAGAGAGAGCUCCAAAAAAACAAGAUAUAAAUAAAUAGUAAUUUGCAAAGAAUAAAGGGGAAUGUAUUAGAAAGUUUUUUUAGUACGUAAUAGCGACACGCAACCAAACAAGCUCAGAAAUUUCUCCCCACCCACCCGAUGCAAUAACAAAUCAAACGACGGAAGAAGAAAAAUACUUACUGUCUACUACUAAUAUACUCCAUCUAUUCAGAAAAGCAUUUGCAGGGCCAGUUUAAGUUUCGCGUUUACUUUUACUUUUGGAAGCUUCUUAUAAUUUAUUAUUAAAUUAAUACUAGCUAGCUUAUUAUUAGUAAGCCUUUCUUUCCUCCUCAAUUAAUUUACUUGUAACUUUCUCAGAAAAAAAAAUAAAGGAAAUAAAUUAUUGUCUCCAGAAGGCAUUUCAUUUCUUCGCUAGGAGAAUCAAUCACUAGCAGCAAUCGAUCAAAGUCCCAGUGUGCCAAGACCAACUCAAAUGCAGCUACCCCACAACCUUAAAUUUUGUAUGGUCCAGCAGCAAGAAUCAAGCAGCCGCCUUCGUUUCGUUUAUAAGCAUAGUCUGUGCACAAUUCCUCUGAAUUUCUGAGAAUAUUACGAGACAUUUCAAAACCAAGAAUGGGUGGAUGGUGUAACACAUCAAAAUUAUUUUUUCUUCUUCAAAAAAAAAAAAGGGAAAGGAAAACUUCCAAUUCUUGGAUAACGAAGACUUGCAUGCACGAGUUGACUGAUUUCUUUCGCGGCAGCUUCAUUUAGGCUCCCGCAACAUUCUAAUGAUUUUAUAGUACUCCAAGCAACUUGAACAAGGAAAAAAUCCAUUCUUUGCCAGUACCAUUUCUGCAAUCAAUACCUGAAAUAUGCUUGUAUCCAAACUAUCAUUUCUUUUCCUCUUCCUUCUGCACUUCUAUUUCACAACCAUCUCUGCCAGUCAUAUCCCAGUUCUUGAUAACUUAGCCAUUUCCAGCGGUUCUUCUGGCAUCUUAACUGCAUCCAAUGGCCGCGUUUGGGUUGGAGAUACCGGUUCCAAAUCUUCCACGUUGCUGCAAUUGAGUGGCAAAUCAACCAAGUCAAGAGUCAACCACCAUCCAGCUGCCUCCGUGGAUGCUGUCCCCUACCUGACCGCACGCAUAUCUCAUCACCACUUCACCUACACAUUCCCCGUCAAGCCUGGCCAGAAAAUCAUCCGUCUGCACUUCAACCCUGUUUCAUACAAGAAUUUCAAGAAGUCUAGAGCUUUUUUUUCCGUCAAAGCCGGUCCUUACACCCUUCUCAGCAACUUCAAUGGUUCCCUUGCUGCUGGUGCUUCAGGGGCUGGGCAUUUUACUAGAGAAUUCUGUGUCAAUAUAGAGGAAGAUGAACUAUUGAGCAUAACGUUCUCCCCAGAUCAAGGAAACGAAGGUUCUUCAGAUGACCGAUAUGCAUUUGUCAACGGUAUUGAGAUUGUCUGCAUGCCUGCUGGUCUUUAUUUCACCCCGGAUGAUGGCCUGGGACCCUUUGUCGUUGGCCAGAAAUACAGAUUCUUCAUCGACAACAGCACCGCACUUGAGAUGAUUCAGCGGUUAAACAUUGGCGGAAACUCCAUUGCAUCUGUUGAAGAUGGAGGCAUGUUCCGGUCAUGGGAUGAAGACCUCAAUCACUUGCCACAAAACGGAAGCCUUGUAAUUAAAAGGGUCAUUCCAAUCAAGUAUACGCGGGCACCAUCGUAUAUAGCACCAAAGAAAGUCUAUCAAACUGCCAGGUCAAUGGUUCCACAUACGAAUUUGAGAAGGCGCAAUCUUAUGUGGAAAAUACCAGUGGAUUUGGGAUUUAGAUACUUGAUUAGGCUCCAUUUCUCAGAGCUUGAGUUGGGGAUAACGCAGUGCGGUGAGAGAGAGUUCAGGAUUAUCAUAAAUAAUCAAGUCGCUGAAGAUAAUGCUGAUGUCAUCAAAUGGGGUGCUGAACAUGGAGUUGCAGUGUACAGGGACUAUGUUGUGCUGAUGGAGGGAGAUAGGAUGGAAGGUAAGCGUUAUCUAAACAUCACCUUCCAGCCAAAAUUGGUGUUAAGCGGUAAAGAAACAGAUGGGAUCCUCAAUGGGAUGGAAAUAUUCAAGUUGAGCAACCCUGAUAACAAUCUUGCAAGCAUGAGGACCAUAGAAUUUGUACGGAGUUCCAGAUCUCAGAAACAAGAGGACAAAAAGAUACUGUCUUUUGGCCGUAAGAAUGCAGUUGCAACGGCGCUGACUGUCAUAAUCACUUUGUUGAAUGUCACUGUGUAUUAUAUCAGGCGGCUUUCAGAAACUAGUGCCAGGAACCUACGUUCGUCAUCCUCAGAAAAAUUUUGCCGCCUAUUUUCAAUUCAUGAGAUCCGAUCAGCAACCAACGAUUUCAGUCAUGAAUUCCUCAUUGGCAGUGGUGGAUAUGGUAGAGUGUAUAAGGGAAGCAUUGAUGGAGGAGCUACAACCGUUGCAAUUAAGCGAUUGAAAUCAGAGUCUAGGCAAGGCGAAAAGGAGUUUUGGACAGAGAUAAAGAUGCUAUCCAGGCUCCGCCAUGAGCACCUUGUCCCUCUGAUUGGUUACUGCAAUGAAGGUCAAGAGAUGAUACUGGUAUACGAGUAUAUGCCAAAAGGAACAGUUGCUGAUCAUCUUUACAAGAUUGGUAGGCAUGGUGGUUGUGCUCCUCCUCUCUCUUGGGAACAGCGGCUUAAGAUCUGUAUUGGUGCUGCACGUGGUUUGUACUUUCUUCACACCUCUCGACAGAGGGUAAUCCACCGGGAUGUGAAGAGCUCGAACAUUCUGCUGGACGAGAAUUGGGUGGCUAAGAUUUCAGACUUCGGCCUGUCAAAGAUGGGAGCACCUAACGAGUCAAUUACACAUAUGAGUACCAAUGUCAAAGGGACAUUUGGCUAUUUAGAUCCAGAGUAUUUCUUGACUCGCAAAUUGACACGAAAAUCUGACGUGUAUGCUUUUGGAGUGGUGCUGUUUGAAGUGCUGUCUGGAAGGCCAGCUGUGGACUUACGACUUGAAGAGGAGCAACACAGCUUAGCUGCGUGGGCAAGAUACUGCAUAAGAAAGGGAAAAGUCGAUAACCUCAUCGACCGCAAUCUGAUAGGACAAAUCUCCCCAGCUUGCUUAAAGGUGUUUGUUGGAAUAGCAGGGAGGUGCGUGGAUACGCAUCCACAUGAACGGCCUGCUAUGGCUGACGUUGUCAUUCCCCUUGAGUUAGCAUUGGUGCUGCAACAGAGCCCAGGUUCCACAGAACAGGCAGAAGAAGACGAUGAUAUCAACAACGUUGCAAGAAGUUCCAGUGAACAAAGUGAUGGUGUUUUCUCAUUGGAUGAAUUAUCUGUUAACCCCUCCAAUGGAGGAAUGGAGCAGAACGUCUCCAAAGAGCUUUCAGGAGCUGCUCCUGGAACAAAAGAAACUUAUGUUCUCAAGAAUUCAAAGAAGGAUAACAGUUCCAACAAUGCAACAUCAUCAAGAUGGUGGUGGGAUCCAUUUGGGCUUGUGCCAAGAAGUCCAUCAAAAACGAAAGCUUCAGCACUACAUGAAGGGCUCCGCCAAUUCCACAUCCAAGAGAUACGAAAAGCCACCAAUAAUUUCCAGAACAGUUUCAUCGUUGGCUUUGGAGGCUUGGACAGUGUGUACAAGGGCCUUGUGGAUGAUAUCCCAAGAAUUGUGGCGGUCAGACGAUCAAGCAGUAGAGAAUCAAGACUUUCGAUGGCACGUGAAUUGCAAUCAAAGAUGGAAAUGGUCCCUUCACUAAGACAUGCUCAUGUCGUAACUCUGAUCGGUUAUUGCAAUGAUGAACCUGAACUGAUGCUUGUGUAUGAGUACAUGGCCAAUGGAAGCCUCCAUGAUCAUUUAUGUGACCCUAACAAGGAUCCACUCCCAUGGAAGCGGAGACUUCAAAUCUGCAUUGGCGCAGCACGAGGAUUGUCCCAUCUCCAGUCCACUGUUAAACUAACGAAUCUCCACCGCAACUUGAAGUCAACCAACAUUUUGUUAGACGAGAACUGGGUGGCCAAGGUUUCAGACUUUGGGUUAUCCCGAAGAAGAGGUGUCAGUGGUGCGCAUACAAUUGUUAGAGGUGACUUGGGUUCUCUGGACUCAGACUAUAUACUGGAUGACAGAUUAACAGAAAAAUCUUACGUAUUCUCAUUUGGCUUGCUACUGUUUGAGGUACUCUGUGCCACUAAAGAAUCAACUCAUUGGUUGGAUGAGGAUCAUGUAAGUCUGGCUCAGUGGAUAAAAUCAGGCAUAAGAAACAACCUCUCUGGCAGCAACAUUGACCCAUACCUAGCUGGUAAAAUAGCACCUGAAUGCUGUAGGAUAUUUGCAGAAACAGCCAUUAAAUGUCUGCUUGAUAAGGGUUCUGAACGACCAUCAAUGAAUGACAUAGUGGCAAGUCUUGAGGCUGCGCUUAAGCUGCAAGAAGCGUCAGACAAUGAUGAGGGUGUUUAAGUGCAAAGUAGCUGACAUGAUAAUGCAGUUCAGUUUUGUAUGAUGUUUACCAAUAAUGUUCACUUCAUUCUGUAAUUAUGUGUGCUAUUUAAUGCUAAUUAAGCUUGUUGUACGGAAAUUAUACGAUAGAUGGGAUGGUUACAAACAUCUGGGCAGCUUAUUUUGAAGCAUCAAGUUUAACUGGCUAACAUGCCUGGUUAGAACUCGGCAGAAGAUAGUUUAGAAAAAUAAAAAGGCCAUGUGAAUUCUAUUCUAUUGGAUCGAGGAAUUUGAUGAAAGAUUUGAAUUCAAAUCGCUUUAAUUGUUUGGAUUGCUUAAUAGGCAUUUGAGUUUAUAACACACCAACUAUUAAAAUAUAUUUUAAAUACUAGAAUAAUUGAUAAUUUAUAAAUCCAAAUACCUCCUAAAUAUAAUGUAAACAAGUAGAGAAAUUUGAGAGAAUUUCUUAAAUUCUUCGUUAGAUCCCCCAAUCGAAACGCAGCCUUGUGCUAGUUGAAUUAUUUGCAUUACACGCAGUGAUCUGGGAGAUGCAAACUUGCGGAGUCCAUACUUUCAGUGCACAAAACCGGGACGAUAUUCAGAAUUACAAUUCACCUAAAGACUGGAAAAUACUCCCCCAAUGAAAUAGCCUUCUCGGCUUGAUUUGUCCAAACGUACGUCUUCGAGCUAUCCCGCACGCUUGCAGCGAUUGUAGGCUGUACAUGGUCUAUUAUUCAUAUUAACUGGCACGAUGCAAUUAGCAUACUGAGCUGCAUUGCAAACUGCCGGCCGCCGAAGAGCGCCGUAGGAAAUUGCCUGUCCUUGUUGGAGCAGCAACCUGCCACCUGCAGAAUAGUGCCAGAGAGACUCCCAAUCCUCCUCAUUUCCCCGGCUGCCGAAGAAGCAGUCUGCAAAAGCGCCAUUGCACGACACUCGUGCAUUGUUGAGCAUAUAAAAAGAAGCUGAAGCUCCUCCCAAGUCUUCUCCGAGGCUGAGCAACAAAACGAGGGAAAAUAAAACUGCUGUAUCUCUUUAAUCCCAUUGCAGCAGUGUAUGUAUGCUAGUAUUUUCUUGUGAAGCUUCUGUCUGAUGAUCUCGUGGUGAUAUAGGAUUAGACCUGUAAAAGGGGUCCAGGAAGGUCGCUGACUACCACAGUGAGUAAUACCAUUGAGCCACUUGAUUGCGGACAAAUAAUACUGCAACUAUGCAGGCAUUCUUAUUUGUUGUUUUGUCCCUAUGCUGUUACACUUAAACUGGCUAAGAAUCCUUUCCUUAUUAGUAUAUUUUGUGCUCCUUUAGGAGAAUUAAGAAAGCUUAUAGUGUCGGCUAGCGAACCCUUUUCUUAUGAUUCUACAUUCUGCAUGAUUGAUGUCGGCAGAUGAUUCACUUGAUUCCAAAUUUACCGAAUUUGUCUGUAAGCAAGCUUAAAUAGUAGUAGUACUUGGCUGUCGGCACAUCUGUUUUCUCCAAGAUUUUUUUACGCAACCAUGGAAAUUGGUUGCCAUCAUCAAGAUCAUUUCAUCAAUAUUGAUCUCACAUCAGAGGUUGUAUGGCACAGUUCAUGAGCAACUGCUUCUUUUAAAUUCCGUAUCAAUUAGGAGUACUAUCUUCUUCUCAAAGUCGUGGAGAUAUAGGCGAGCCACAAGAUACAAGGGAUCAGUGAACAUCUUAACUACUAACACCACCAGUGCUAUUAAAAUGUAAAGUUAUGCUGCUAAUCGCUUGCUGACUACAAGCACAAGAAAUAACAACUAUUAGACCAAGUCAUUCCCUUGUCCUUGUGCUUUAACAUUUCAUGUUAAGAAUGCUCCUGCUCAGUCUUGUGACCUUGUGCAUCAUCACAAGUGCUGUUCUAGUAAUUGUAAGCAAUUCAUUGCUGGAAAAAGCAAUUUACAGGGAACAAAGGGGUAUUCAAUUUUCAACUAGUGACUUUAUUGAUCGGUUUAUCUGGAAGACAGAUUGGAAACAGCAUUUGAACUUGUCACGUACUUUCACAGAGUAAAGAUCAGCCACAAAUCACUACACUUGGCUCCUUACUCUUUUAAACCCUGGCCCCAACAACCCCCCGGCCAGGGGGGGGGGAACUUACUGAAUUUCCAGAAUGACAGAAAAGAACAGCUUUCUGUAGCUAAGUUUGUAUUGUGUAACUCCAUGUAUUCUUUUCUGCAAAAAAACCGUCUACCGAAGAAGCCCAUGGGGCUGAAGCACAUAGUCCCAAUCAAACAGGACAGCCUGGAGGAGGUCUAACCCAAUCCAUAUAUGCAAGAUCAGAUUGGAAUGCAAACAACACUAUAAUUUCAUAUGUCUUUAAACAGUUUUCCAACAUCACACGACGGAAUAGACAAACUCUCACUUAAGAAAAGAGGAAAAUAUUCAAUCAUAUAAGCACAAGACAUGGAAAAUGCGUAGGCUCAUCUAAAAGAGGAAAUAAUCCAGAAGUCUUUUUCAAAAAAUUUUUUUAAAAUUUUGGGUAGAAGUAAUCACAAGUCAUUACUGAAUAUCAAAAGGUGCUGCGUAACUUUAAGUU
rnacentral:lncRNA from 1 species